UCCCUGCAUUUAUCUAUUUUAUAAGUAGUUAAUUCGCUGAUAGCCUUCUGUGCUUUUUAUAUCUAUUAGAGUUGGGGUGUGAUGGUUUAAAUAUGGCACAGUUGGAAGCAUGGUUGAACUUGUAAUGGUCGUAGGCUGUGGUCUGUUGCUACCUUCACUAUAUAUGUCUGUAAUGGCUCGUUUUCUUAAUGAGAUGAAGAACUGAAUCCUCUUGUUAUGUUUAUCAUGCUCUGCUGCUGAAUGAAGCCUGAGACGUUUUGCAGAGCUUGUUGUGCCUGCAUGAUCCUGGCUACAAAGAGAACCACUGCUUGUAUUUUUUUAGUGCUCCAGAGACCUUGCUUCUUUUCGAAUGUUAAGUUUAAAACUCGAAGUCAGUUGCCUGAUAGAUGAUGUUUUCUUUGCAAUUUGUGGCCCCACAUGUGUUUGUUUUAAUGUCCUGUUGUUUGUUCGUUCAUGCAUGGCGGCUCUGCGCAUUAGUUGUUUGUGCUAAUGCCAAGAGGUUGGGAUUAUGUUUGUUUUUUUGUGUUGUCUAAUUAACGCUCUUGUGUUUCUACUCUUUGGCUGCUGAGAUGUUCAUUUGGAUCAAGUAUUGCCGCUGAAGGUUUUUGUUCUCUGCCUUGCUCACAAACUUUUGUUUGGUCAAUUUGCACAAAUGUGGAUCAAAUUUGUAAGGGAGCUGAAACAAUGAAGUUACAGUCCUUGCUCUGUGUUGUACUGAACGCUGAGUUUUUUUUCUUUUACAUAUUGAUGUUUAAAUACAGUAGAAAAUGUGAUUGGCAAGAUAGUUAUACUUCAACAAUACUUCACCUGUUACCCAAUACUCCCUCCGUUCCUAAAUAUUUGUCUUUUUAGAGUUUCAAAUGGAUAUUUGUCUUUUUAGAGUUUCAAAUGGACUAUCACAUACUGAUGUACAUAGACAUAUUUUAAAGUGUAGAUUCAUUCAUUUUGCUCCGUAUGUAGUCACUUGUUGAAACCUCUAGAAAGACGAAUAUUUAGGGACGGAGGGAGUAAAAGAUAAUUUAGUCAGCAGUACUAUGUAGACUGGUUUAUUUUUUGUGCGUGACCCCUUCCUCAUCUCUAAAACAUGCAAUGUUCUCAGAUUUAUUUGCCUUUUUGCAUUGAGUUCAAAACUUGAACAUUUAGGAGGCAUUGACCAAUGUAGCAUGAGUACCGAAUACCUCUUCCUCGAGGUAUCUAACUUAUAAAGGAUGAAAGGGUUCGUAGUCACAACGAAGCCAGCCACGUCGCCUUUAAAUCGCUGCUGCCACCGCCUGUAAUUUUCGUUCCCCGCUGAGGGCAUUUUCGUCAUUUCGCAUCCGGGCGUAUAAAAGGGAGCAGCUCCUGUGGAGAAGACCUAGCUGCUCCUCCUCCCGCACUCGUGCGCCCCCUUUAUUCUUCCUCCCGCCUCACCUCUCUCCCCCCUCGACCCGCGACCCUCGUCCUGUCGCCGCCGGGACCCUCGUCCCUCUUGUCGCCGUCGCCUCCGCUGCCAAGUAGUGAGCGAGAGCAGCGAGAGGAACAACGAGCGAGCAGCCAAACCUUCAUGGCCUCCGCCCUCUCUCUUCCCCACCCCUCUCCCCUCACCACACAAGAGAAGAGAGGCAGGGAGUUGGACCGAUCAGGCGGCGGCCGGCCAUGGGACGGGAGGGCAGCGUUGGGCGAGCGAAAAGGAAAAGAAGCGAGCGACCGGAAGAAAAAAGACCUAGCCCGCGUCACCCCCCGUAACCCCCGCAGCCGCCUCCUCUCCUGUCGCCGCCGCCGCCUCGGCCUCGUCUCCACUGCGCCGCCUCCUCCUCUCCACUUCUCUCUACCACCGCAUGGCCGCCGCCGCCGCUCGCCUCUUUCUUCCCGUAGCUCCUGCAGGACGACGCCUCCCCAUCCUCCAUCAGCCGGGUCGGGCGAAGGUCGCCGGCAUCUUCGCGCUGCCACCUCUGCCCGUCCUCCUCUCUCGCCCAGCCACCACCGUUGCAAGGAGCAGGGAAGAUAGGAGACGACGACAAGAAGCAAUGGGUUGGUUGCGGUGGGCUUGAGCUGAGCAGGGGCCGGGUUAAGGUAGGUGUUGACGGCCUGGAUCCGUCGACGGGGGUCUGCCGGGCAUGGCGGCUGCUGGAAGGGCAGCAGCGGCCUGUGGGGAGUCGGCGGCACGGCAGCGACAUCUAUGGAGAAGAAUGGCCCAGCAGGCUCGUGUAGACAGGAGAUUCUCGGGGUGUUUGUCAAUUGGGCAGAUGGCGGCCAUCGGAGUUUCUUCAAUCGAUCUGGACAGGGCCACCACAGCGUACGCGAGGGCUGGAGGUGAGUGACCCUCUGGAGCCGCUUCCUCUCCCAGUUUUUUACUCCUUGAUUUUUAGAUCCUCUCCCAGUUUUUCACUACUUGAUUUUUAGAUUAUUUGAUAAUCUUAUUUGAUUUCUCAAUUUCUGGUUACCUAUGACGAGUAGAAGAAGAAUUUUGACAAAGGGUUUGAUGAAUAAGAACAGGUGAAUUCAAUUUGCCUUGAAUAUAGUCGCGUGUGUUCCCGCAUUUUGAUGUUUGAUUUUUUUUUCUGUGUAAGAGAGCAAAUGACAUGAUUUUGUACUCCUAUUACCUACUGACAGAAGAUACAUUUGUAAAUGAAGGUCUCAAUAAUGUUUGUUUUUACCUUGUGGUCUGAUAGACCAGUACAUACUGUUGGUCAUGUUAACAAAAGAUUUUGUCAUCCCUCUGUAUGAGCUGUAAUAAUAUUUACAUAUAUCUUUGACUGUGCAGAUUCAGAUUUUUCUCCUUCCUCGCCUCAUUGACAUGCUCUGCAUCUUCAGCUUGCAGGUUGUGGUCUUUCACUUCUCCUCUUGUUGGUUUGCUCUCUGGUUAAGCCAUGGAAGACACGCUUCGAUUACUUGGCUCCUCAAGGUAUGGUGCAUAUUGCCUCUGAUUUGCUUAUUUGAGUGUACUUUUAUACAGAAAAUUUCAUUUGCUUAUUUUCAAUUCUUUAGGGAUAUGAGAAGAGAGCUCUAUUGUUGGCAGUGGCUGCAUAAUUUCGACAAGUGAAUGGUUGAUCUUUGCUAUGUGGAUUGUGGACCGAUGGCAUAAUCUGUAUCUAAGGUUGGAGAUUCUGAAUUAGGUACGAGAAAGAUGACAGUCACUUUGUUUUCACUAUAUUAGUUUACUGAAUAUUUUUAAGGUUGGAACUGCAUGAUCAAAGUGACAAUAUAACUAAAUGUUCGAAGAAACUUAAGGCUAGACACCACAUUAAUUUCCUUUUUAAUUUGAAUUUAUAAGCAGACACCUGAAUUUAGCUUGAUACAGAUCCUAUGAUCCCUUGGAAGCCUAUAUUGUAAAAUUUGAGCAGUUCCCAUGACAGAAUUUAUAUUAGAACUUACUUUCUCUUUCCAAAUGCCCAUAUAUUUUGUUGCUCUAUAAUUCAACUUAUACGCAUUUAGCAGCGUAUCUUUAUCAUGUUAUCCAGUUCUUACCAUACCAUGUGGUAGCUAAAUGUGCUGAUCUACCCCUGCAGAAUUAGUACCGUUUUUCAGCUAUGUGUAAUUAAUCAGCUACUUCCAUUUUUUGAUGAUUAAUUUUUAAAUAAAGGUUCAGAGAAUGGCUUCUAUUGCCUUCCAGACCACCUGGUAAAGGAUGAAUAGGUGUUGGUUGCCAUCCAGAUCUCCGUCUUGGAUGCUGGGAGCAAUUCUCAAAUUGUUUGUGCAUGAAUUGACCGAUUCUCCUUUCUCUUGCAGAGUGUCUUGUUUAUCUGAGGUGGAUUCUUAUCUUCUUAUCCACAUGCUUGCUAAAUGUACAUUUUUCUUUCAUUUUAGCUAGAAAGCAAGCAGCCUUACACGAUUUAGAUAUCUUUUACAUGAACUUCUUAUGCAACCAGUAUGUUAUGAAUAUGCAAUGGCACACAUUGUUUCUUUAGUGAGAAAUUCCUGAACAUACUCUCUAUUGUGUUAUGGGAGUCUGAUGUACCAGCCCAUGUGGCUGAUUGUGUUAUGGGUGAUUUGCCCAAGCACCGUUAAGUUACAAAGUUUUGCUUUACUUCCAAAAAAAGGUCUGUUGAAACGUGCCUAUUGACCACCAAAAACCACUUUAUUUUUUGUGUAUGUUCGCCAUUUUAGUCCAAUUGUUGAUAUGCUGCCAACAACUUUUCCAUCCCCUCUUUCUUACUAUUUAGUUAUUUCCUCAGGCAAGUUGAUGGUUAUUUCUACUAUUGCUAAUUUAGUUUUGGUUCUAUCUGUGUGCAUGGCAUGCAGGCCUUCCCAGGAGAUGCAGUUCUGAAAUUUGUCACAGUUCUAUGGAUCUAUUAUUGUGAGAACCGAUGAUAUAUGGUGAGUUGUCUGACACCAUCAUUUCUCCUUUCUAGCGCUUGAGUUGACAAAUUUCAUGUAAUCAAAUGGAGUCCCUGCAUCUUAAGAUGUCAUCCAUUUAUCACAUGUAAUGUGUUGUUUCCCUUUUAUGCGCCAGAGUUCUUUCCUAUAUUCUGAGCAUCAAAGCCCUUUUAGAUUGUAUACUGGACAUGAUUUUAUCUACUUUAAUAUAUGCUUUAUGCGCGUCUGAAAGUGUCCACUAUGUUUAUUUGCUCCAUGAAUUUAACUGUUGUAUUUGCUAAGAAUAGUGUAAUUUUCUGGGUCACAAUUACCUUUAAACAUCAACUACGUUCUUAUUCCUAUCAACGAUCUAAGUAAAACAUGAAAAACCUGGGUUUUCCUUUGUCUCUGGCCAGUGUUAUAUACUUAUUCGAUACCUACUAUCCUCUAUAUAUACUUGUGUUUUCCCCCUCCAAUAUAGGUGCCUGGACUAUGACCUCUGCCUUUUGACGGUUGCUUUUCCUUUGCUACUAGGUAUUGUUCUUGUAUUCAAGAGUUUUGUUUCUACAAUUGCCUUUGACGUACCUACACAUCAAUCAUUUGCCAAAUUAAAACAAAUGACCUUCUCAAAACAUAUGCAUGCUUUCGACACCCUGAAGAGAUGUGUUUACUUUACCCGCAAACUUCUAUACACGGACUGUUUAAUGAAUUUUAAUGUGUGGUUGUGUGAUGUAUACUUCAGUAAAUAUUGCUUCUCCAAUUUACAAUAUUAUUAUGGGGAAAAUUUGACACAUAAAAAUGCACACAAGUUAUGAAUAUUUUUAGCUCAAUUGAUAAUUGUUCGUCAAAAGAGAUCACACAAUACCCCUUGCUCUGAAUUAUUUAGAUUGAAGCCAUACUCUGUGUAGACAUGCAGUUAUUUUUAAAGUAAAAGAAAAUAAUUAUUUACUGGUAGUAGGAUCACAGCGGCAAAUUACUGUGUCUCAGGUUUGAAAGCAGGUAGAAUAACGAGAAAGUUUGGAUACGUCAAUUUCUUUUUUCUUAUAUUUAAUUUCCUAAUGUAUGAUGGUGGAGUUGCAUCUCUUUACUGUCAUCGAGGAAAAGGAUGACCAAGCUCAGCAGUCCAAUCUUUGUCUUUGGCACUAGGAAAGUUGCCUAAAAGAUAUAUAAUGCCGGUCCAUGUAUUUAGUUGUUUGUGCCGCAGCCUGUGUGCUUCCAUUUGCUUUCUAACAUUAAUGGGGUACAUGUACAUGUACUAAGAACCGUUUGACUAUAUGUGACCAUCAAGAGAACUAAUAUUUCCUGUCAUCUAUUCAUUUCGGCCUUAUCAUCUCACUUUCGUUUGUUACAUCUUGUUCAAUAUCAUUGUUGUAUCAAUGCUACCCAUCUACCCUAUAUGCAUGUCGUAAUUCGUAAACCUUGACAAAAGCAAAGAACAUGCUUAAUCAAAAAAUUCAAUGAACAUAGGGUCCACUUGGCACUGAAUCUUAUAUUUACUAAUUGGAGGCACCUUUCAAGUCUUCUAAUUAAUCCACAUCAUCACAAUUAAUUAGACAGUUGGAUUAUAAAAUUAACGACCAAGAUAAGAAGAAAACUUGCGUAACACAGAUGGUUCCGGCUGUCCAAAAUAAUGGCAUAUGACACGGCCAAUGUGUUGAAACAAGAAAAAAAACAUCCAUCUGUUCCUUUAAAAAAAUGAUAGACUCCUUCCAUAACAACUCUCGAGGAUCUGUGAAACACAGUUUUACAUGCAGGAUCCAUGAAACUCUUCUGCCAAUUAAAGAAAGGAAAAACAGCGCUCCUUAAAGAAAACAUCCCAUCGCUCCUGUGCAUCUUUUCAGGCAACUUCCGCUUCUUUGGUCCAUUAAAACAACAUCUGACACGCGAAAAUUCUCUUCUGAGCCCGGUCUCAGCUGAUCUUGAAAUCAGAGUCGUCCAGAUACAUUAAGAUCCGAGCCAGGAGCUUUAUUCUCUUCUGUAUUUCCGUUGUACAGAGGGAGAAAAGAAAGCGGGCCUGCGUCAUUAAUUGCUGUGCGCGGCACGGCCGUUUGCCGGAUCAGGCUCGGUCGCACGGCCCGGUAAUAUUUCUGAGCCGUCUUGACGGCCCGACGACUUUUCAGCCAAGUCUCGUCUGCUGUGUGCUUAGGUGCUUUUUUUUAUGCAUGCAGAUAAAUCCGCCGUCUGCUGCUCGCAACCAUGCAGGCACAGGCACCCCUUUCUAAACAAUCUGUGUGAUGUUUACCCUGUAAGAAUUCCUAUAAAGAUGCCAAACCCGCGACACACAUUUCGCUAAUCAAAAUCACAAAGGCGUGUUACUGUUACCCACAUGCUGACCGAUGUGCUUCAUGUCGCGCAUAACAUGACGACAUCAAGUCAGUACUAAUCACCACAGCACACUAAGUACGAAACAGACGCACACACAGCAACUGCUGCUGUAGUGGCAACGACAGUGUUACCAUCUGCAAGGCACAAAGAAACUUACUGAGCCCGUCUAUGUUUGAUUGUUUCGGUGCAAACGUCCUCCUCAUCGGGUCCAUCAUGCAUCCGUGUCGUCGCCACCAAGGUUGCACACUGCGCUGGACUCGCUCCUAUCCGCCGAAAAUGCAGCAACCUCUGCGAACAAGGCAGUGUCAUUUGGAUCGUGCUUGCUGAACCUUCUUCCAGGGGAGGAGGGACCAUGAUCCAACUCCUCCAAGCAAGCGCGCAUUUUGAUCGUGCUUGCUGAACCCUUCUUGCCAACGCAUUCCUUACUCCAGCAGGAUUUGCCUCCAUCCAGAAGUCACCGGAACCAGCUGCCGGCGCCGCUGUGCACUACAAAACUCCGGCGAGAACACGGCACCUGUGAGGAAUGAGACCGAUUUGGUCGACAACCCUUGGGUCCCAGGCAUUAUGAUCUCCUAGCGGGCCCAGACUUCAACACGUGCCACCUGGACCGCAGACCUGUUCCGCGGCCCACAAUAGUUUUCACGUCCCGGGCCGUGGCGCAGAGCCUCGCUGUAACGGAAACACUCCCCGCCCUACAAAACUGGCCCACACCAAACGACGGUACACACUCGUAUCGCGGCCGUAUACAUUUUUAACGCGGGUUGCGUUCUGACGCAGCAGAGCGGUUUUUUCGCAUCCCAAGGUGCCUACGAUCGGCACAAAUUUCGGGCUCAUCUGAGCCCGAGCACCAAAACGCCUUGUCCACAUCUGACACGUCCAAUUUAAACAAUAAAAAAGGUAUCCAUCGUUUCUUUUAAAAAAGAGACAGCUGCCACUCAAACAAAAAAAAGGCAUCCUUACAUAACAGCUCAUCUAUGAAACUCUUCUUGCCAGCUAAAACAAGGAAAGGCAUCUGUGCCUAAAAAAAAGGGAAAACAUCUCCAUGGGCACCUGUACAUGGAUGGACCUUUCAAGCCUUCUCACUAAUCCACAUCAUCAAAACUAACUACACAAGUGAAUUGUAAUUGUAAGUCCAGGAUUUAGAAUACAUCGACACAACUUUAUUACGCAAGUUUUGGAGUCCUGGGCAGCCACAACUUACAAGUUGUAAAUUCUAGAGAAUUAGCUACAAUAAUAAUUCUUCGCAAAAAAAAGCUACAAUAAUAAUUGAAUCGUACGUCCAGAAUAAGAAUACAUAACCAUUAGAUUGUGAAUUUAAUGGUCAAGAUCUAUUAAAAGGCCUGCAUCUUUAAAGAAAACACCAUGAACAUAUCUGGGAUUAAACCCACACGUUCGUACAAAGAAAAAGAUGAGAGUCCUUCCCUUAAAAAAAGAUGAGAGUCCCCCACAUAAAGAAAAAGAUGAGAGCCAUGCCGUAUUACGACAGAAAAAAAAAACAUCAAUGCCCACGUCAAAGUUAAAAAAAAGUCCUGCCUUAUUACAACUCAAGAAAAAGGAGAGUCGUCCUUUAUUAAAACCCACAUGUACGUAAUGGAAAAAAUCCCCUAAAAAAGUGUUCUAACCACGUACCUAAAAUAAAAUUGAACAACUAAAAAAAAUCUCACGCCCAAAACAAAAGAAGUCCUCAAUAUGCACGUCAAAGUUCAUAGAAUCAGCACACGUGCCUUCUCUCUUUGCAAAAUAUUGACCCGUACAACUAAAAAAAUGCAUGCCCGCUAAAAAUAAUCACACAUCCCAAUUUAUCACUGGAAAAAACCAACUUGCAUAGCAAAACGACACGUACAAGUAAAGUGCUCUCAAGCCUAAUUUAAUAAAAUUUAAAUCUAUGCAUGAUUAAAAGAAGAAGAAAAAAACUCCAUCAUACAAAGAAAAAGACCUAGCCCAGAUAUCUCCCUAAUAGACCACCACCAUCAGUGUCAUAUAUUUUGAUAUUUGAAAUCGCCUAAUUUUAAGGCACGUAGAAAAAUAUACAUAAAUUGCCAUGCAUAAGAAAAUUUGAAUAUAAACAUGUUAAUAAAAAUCAACUGAAGGAAUAUCAUUGUUUUUUGUGCUAGGGAGUGGCAAGGUCGACUUCUGAUUAUCUAAAAUAGAGUUAUUCACCACCACAUCCAUUACAUUGUAAUAUUUGAGGGGUAAAAAUAUUUUUCAUGUAUUACAAGAUACUCUACUUUUAAUAUCAUGCUAGACCAACACAGUCUCAAUUAAGUAACGGAUGUGCGUUAAGUUAGGAGCACUACCUAACGCACUAAGAAGAAAUAUAUAUUAUGGAAAUGAUAUGGGUAGCAUUGUAGUAUGUAAGGAUGUGUUGUUACUUAAUGUAGAGUAUUAGAUUUCAGUUGUUUGUUGUAGUUUGUGUAAGGAUGUAAGGAUGCCUUGCUCAUUUCAGUAUUAGAUUUCAGUUGUUUGUUGUAGUUUGUUUUCUGGGUUUUGUAUCAAGCGAGAAUGAGCAAGGCUCGCUUCUGAUUGUUGUAUGCCAACCCAUGUUUUCUAUUUGUACUCCCUCCGUCCGAAAAUACUUGUCGGAGAAAUGGAUAAAAAUGGAUGUAUCUAGAAUUAAAAUAUGUCUAGAUACAUCCAUUUUUUCGACGAGUAUUUCCGGACAGAGGGAGUAGAUGGUUGUGUUUUUUCAGUUGGCCUACAUGUAAUAAUUAGUAAUUAAUGUCUGGAUUACUUUUGACCAAAUAUUUCGAAGGUUGCUUGUUCUUUUGUACGUAUCUAUGUUGGAUUAUCAAUGCAUGAUCUAAUUAUCGUUUUCUUCAUAUCGAUAUCCUAUUAAUUACUACUACAUCAAGGGACAUCUUCAUGUUGUUGGUUUUCUUAGAAAUCCACUUCAGUUUAGGGACGACAAUAGUUCUACCACGGAUGAUGUUGCAUGUAAGCUGGAUGUUCUCAUUGUUCUGUUGGCUCUGAUCGGGUGAGUUCUUCCUUAUUUCCUUUUUUGAUGCCUCCAUAUGCUCAACCUAUCAUGGUUUUAGUUGUAGUGUGAAUGUUUUACAGUUUAUAUAUAUUUCUGUGUUCUCUAGCAGUGUGGAUGCUAUGAAGUUAAGGUUCUUAAGAUGAAUGAUGUUUAUAGAAGGUAGAUAUAGUUUUGUCAUUCAUUCAUGAUCAUAUUUGGCCUCUCUUAGUGGACUGUCUAUGGUAAAUCUAAUAGUUGGUCUUGAUAGUGAUGCAGGAUGUGAGGUACAACUAUCAAAGUGACAUUAAUUUUGGUUUUGCUUCCUAUCCGCAGCCUCUUCUACACUAGGUGAGAAACUGGUUAAAAGAGUAAAUUUUAUUACUUUCCUAAAAGUAUCUUCCGAGAAACAUGAUUAUUAUGUUUAGUAGUGUUGCUUCGCUAUUCCAAAGGCACAUGGAAGUUUACAUAAAAAAAAUCUUACAGUUGUUUUUUUUGGAUCUUCAAAAAAGGAAAACACUCAACGAUCUGGCUCUGUCUCAGGUAUAUGCUCCCUCGCCCGCAAGAUCCGCUCUCUCCCAUCUACGCAUCACAGCAGCACCUCAGCUCCUCUUGUGGAUUCUCACCAGAUCAGGCUACCUCACUCACCUUCAGGUAAACCUUGAGCGACGACACAAUAUGUUUUCGCGAACUAAUCUUCUUUAGUCAACCUAUCGAUCCUUGUUGCGUGUGCUUCUUAAUCGACAUGUGAAUAAUCUGUUGAUGCAUGGAAAUACAUGCUGAUCUCCUAUUUUCUUGCUGCCUGCAAGAUAGUAUAUGCAUAAAUCCUGUUCAACUACAACAACCUGAAAGCCCUGUUAUUCUCAGAAAAAUUAUCAUCUACGGUUGUAUGCACAUGCCUCUUGAUAUUUACCAGCUCUCCUUUAAGAUUUCCUAACUAGCAUACAUAUCCUAGCUAGAACAUAAGAGUUCGAAUUUGUACAUGUUAACUGCACAUUAAGUUACUAUCAGCAUUGUUUAACAACACUGUUGAUUAUGACUCAGGUUUGUAAACAGUCAUCCAUACCAUAGGUACGUACGUUAAUGCAGAAGCACUACUAUUGAAUUAGAUGUAGUAACUGCGUCAUUCUAAAUAUUUUAGCAAGUUCAUGCGUUAACCGCUUAGGGUCCAUCGAUGAAACAAAACCAAUCAUAUGAAUUGAAGAAGCUACUGAAAUAAAAUGGAAAGAACAAAGAGAAAAUUGAAGGUUAUCUAUAUGAAAAUUCAGAGAAUGGGAUAGGAGAGGUGGUUCUUCCCAAUAGGAAAAAGAGUGGAGUAUAGUACUGUUAUCCUACCUUUUCUACUACAAUCCCAGUUAGCAUAAUAAUGUGACAUGGAAAAUCAUAUUACCGAUUCAAUUAUGAUUCAAGCAACAUGAACAAUUAUCCGUGAAAUUCACUUCUAAACCCUGGUUUUAUUUAGUUUUAACUUCAGGAUGGGCAUUUACUGUAUUGUAAUUGCCAGACUUCCAAAAUUCUACUAUUACCAUUGUUUAACAACACUCUUUUUGUCACGGGAAAAUAAUAGAUGGAUAAACGUCUCAAAUCAUACACUAUGAAGCUUCCAACACUUGCUUACAGUGUCUUUCUUGUGUAAUCAAUCUGUCGUGAUGGACAAAGUUAAGAUCCCAACAAAAAGUGCUUCUUGAUACUAUGAUGCAGCAACUUAACCUUCCAAAUUGCAGUUUACUAAACAAAAAGUGCUUCUUGAUGCUAUGAUACAGCUUCUUGAUGCUAUGAUGCAGAAACUUUAUGCUAUGGGCAAGUGAUUCAUGCUGCUCUUGGUUCUUCUGUACACUUGAAAUAAGGAACAAUAUUCCAAAGUAUGAUAGUGUUGUCCAUUACUUCAGUUUCAUCUUCUGAAGUUAUGUUCUGCUUUUCUACUUCUUUGCUCUGCUUUACACAAUUUACAUGGCUUUCGAGUCCUUUUAUUUAGGACCAGGGAAAAACCUCUAAUUGUUAACUUUGUAUUUUCCCACUCACUAGCGCAUAUCUUGCCUAAGCGCAGGCUUAAGCAAUGCAUUUUGUUCUAUCCUAGCGCCUAGGUUCUUACACCCUUUCCCCCUACUGAUUUAAGAGGUGUGGAGAUUUUUUAAGGUGGUGUUGCUCGCUUUGUUGUUUAGAUCACAGAAGAAGUAUGUACAAGUAUACAUCACCGAUGUUACUUGCUUGCAAUUACAGUGUAUUUUAAAACACACACUUGGCGAACAUCUGCUCGUGCUUACAAUUCUCUAUGAGGGAAAUAAUAGAUCAACACUUGCUUUUGUGCUCCUUUUGAACAGUUGUCAGGACCUCACCGGCAAAUCCCUCAGCUAUCAGGGAAAGCAGCCAUCAGCGGAGAUUGAGGGUGCCUCUCCGGCGAGAGUGCUUGUGUCGUAGUGGUUUCCCACCAGCAGCAUGGGGGAGGCGGUGUCCUCUGCAGCUAGGUCUACUUGCUGGCGACCUCACCGUCACCAGCCCAUCUGCAGGUAUGCUAGCUCCUCUUCUAUUAAUGCAAAAAGGAGAUGCUCAAAUGGAUUGAGUGGUACCCUCCUGAAAGUAUUGUAGGGAUGGACAUAUGGAUUGAUUGGUAGGCCCCUGAAAGCUACACAGAUCUGAACCAAUAACUUUAAUGAGAAUGUGUAUCCCAGCUCCUUUUAUAAUCUUGAAUCCUUCUCGGUCCUACUAAACUGUAACUCAUGUUUAUUUUUGGAAACAAUAUUUUGGACAUUCCUAACCUGGUCAAGGGAAUGUAUUUCCCACCUACAGUGAGAGACACAUACGAAGUAGGUCCUACUAAACACCUAAAAGGAUGAGUUACAGUAGGUGUGCAUAGAGUACUAACAUUUUUGCUAUCUUUAUGCUCCUCCAUAUGGAUGGGAACUAAAAGGAUGAUGAUAUUAGUCUACCUUUCAAUAUUUGGUGGCGCAUAUUUAAGAAAAUCACAGCUAAGCAUGUCACUUUCUAAAAAGACGCUUGACUGGAAUGUAUAUGUAUAUAGUUAAUAAAAUCAUAGUGACUGAUUGUCCAGUUCCUCUGUUUAGAUUAGAGGUGUCUGCAUGCAUCCAAGUGAUCAGUCUUUCCAGCUCAAAAGAGAAAGUGACCGAUGUUUUGGCAUAUUUUCCUAUUAGGAAUAAAUGGAUAUGCCCAUGCACGUAUGCACACAGAUUUCAGGUUACAGUUUAAUUAGGAAACAGAUGAUACCUCAUUGUGUCGUCUUGGUCUAAGAAGAGGGGAUAUACUUGGUGAAUAUAUAUGUUCCACCCGACCGUUAAUUUUAGAGAAAAGGACAUGCACUUCAGUAGCAAAAAUUUGAUUGUUAUGUACUAUCUGUAAUGCUAAGCAUUUAUUUGCUAAUAUCUCCUCAUCUGAAUUUGUAUUUUGUGCCAUUUGGCCUUUUAACUAUAUGGGCAUCUGCAGAUGGUCUGAAAACCAAGAUAUGCCACAGAUAAUAACUAUACGGGCUGCUCCAGAUGGACUAAGAAUGGAACCAUAUCCUAGGCCUACAUGCUAAUAUUGUACAACAAUGAAUAUCUUCACUUAUUUAUACUUAAUCAGCUGUGUAAUAAUAAGCGUGAUAUUAGCUUUCGUACCCAUCUUCAUGGUUGAAAUACUUUUCUGCAAUCUGUGACACAUUUGCUUCAGUUUCCAUAUGUCUUGCUUCAUGCUAUCAACAUUGUUAAUCAUUUAUCUUUAUCUUUCUUUCCCUUUACAGCCUACUUGAAUGGAUAUGGUUCCUGAGAGACCAUUUCUUAUGCAUCAGGUCCUGAAGGUGGAUGUUGCUUGUUUAGAUAUCUAUGAUUCCAAAUUAUUCAAAACGGUUCAUGUUAUACUGGAUGCUAUUUUAUUGAGAGUGGCUUCGAACAAUAUGGCAUGAACAUAUUUGUUCUUUGGCCAAUAAUGGAAUGAUCUUUGUGCAUAUAAAAUGGUUAUCGAUACCAUAAUUCUGUAAUACAAUCCACAUUGCAUCAUCUUUCCAUUUACGUCUCUUACUUAUUCACUACUAACAUUCCUUGUAAAUGGCUUCUUGCGCCAUUGGCGCAACCGGGUCAUCUAGUUUCAUAAACCAUCAGAAGGUACUCACUUUUGGAAACACAUACUAGUGGUUGGGGCCCGCCAUUGCGGGCCUCUUGAGAGGAAGAUAGGCGGUGCCAGGUAGGCACCCGCCCCUUCUGAUUCGUUAAUUUUCCUCAUUCUUAACUAAUGUAUACAUACGUGCGUGCUUCAUUCUCCUAUCAACUACUGGCAUACGUACUUGGUGCUUGACAGAGUGGUGCAUACUGUUUCAACAGCUUGCCCGGCUGCAUAAUAUUUAGUUUCCUGCCUUCCAAAGUCACAAAUUCCAGUGCCAGCAAGAAGAAAUGAAAGAGGUAAAUGAAGAGAGGAAGAGCAGACAAAAGACGUCAAGUUGAAGGACUGUACUUCUCAACCAAUGCUAUGAGGUUUUCAAGUUCUUCUUUUGAUCCACGAACAUCAAAGAAGUUGUCAACAAUGGUUCCGAGCACACCGUUUUUGACCCAAGAUAUGCCUUCUAGCGUGUUUGGUCGUGAAUUGGCAAUAGUAGUAUGAGAACCCUUUGGUUCAUCCAAGGAAUUAUUAUCAGUAUUCCCGGCACUGCUACGCGGGCCGCUGCGUCUUGAACGUGAAGAUGUAUAAUACCUGAAUCAAUAUCCUUGUCCUGGGGUGGUACUUGAAAAAUCAUUGGACUUGAGAUUUCCUGGCAUAUAAGCAACUCAACAGCAUGAAAAACACCUUCCCUCACAAACAUCUUCAAAAAUGUCCCAGGGAGCUUUUCCAUCGGAAUUUCAGCUAUCUGAAGAGCAGGAACCAACACGUGUGGGUCUUUCCAAGCUAAGAAGCUGCAAAGGUGAAUAUCAGGUUAGAUGGAACCAGAGGCCCACAAGUAUAUGUAUAACAGUACACAAGAAUGGCAUCUGAAGUUACGUAUUAGCAUCUGAAUAUGUUUGUUGUGCCAUGGAGAAUUUCAAUCAUUUCCUCUGAGCUGUAAUACAUUAAUUUAGCAAUGACAGAUAAGCACUUAUGAUGUAUUGGUCCAUUUACACGGGCCAUACACCUGCAAGGGAUAGAGCGUAUCCAAACAAUGUCUCAGAUAACAGGAUUUCAAUAAUGUUAUCGUCAGCAACCAACAUCAACUGAUACAUCAGCAAACCAAGGGACUGACCUGUGUCAUGUUAGGUAACAUAUCCAUGCGAAAUUGCUGGAGAAGUUCAGGCUGAUCACGUAGUAACUUCUCCCGGCAUACAAACAACGAGAAUAUUUUUGCAUCAUGGUAGUUCAGAAGAUUUGUUAGCAGAGGAACCGCUUCCAUUACAAAAUAUGAGGCGUCUGAAGGAAGCUUCCUACACAUAUUAGCAGUUGUAGAUAACGCCACUCUGUAUAUAUUCCACCCAAAAAAACAUAGAAAUGUAGUACACUAUGUGUACAAACAAAUAAUACAAAGUUGCCAUCAUAUGCAGCACUGACUCAUCAACCCUUAGUUCUUCACAGUGCUGACGUACCUCAGAAGCAUCUGAAUCAUCUCUAGAGAGAUGUUUGCUGCCUGCUGCUUCAGCUGUUCGAUCUUUAUGUUCGUCUCUUGCUCAAGGCGCUUGACGUUUGCGCCAGAGUCACUGCUGGUCUGGAAGUGGAAAUGCCAAGAAUAUAAAUGAUCAAAAGCCAUGUUAUUAUCUUAUAAACAAACAUAUUGAAUACGCAGAUGCACGAUACAUACCUCAGUGAGCUUCCUCGAAAAUCGGCCUCCGUUUGGCAUGAUACUCGGCUAUUUCUCUCUGUCUCUUCUUUUGCUUGCCCAAGCCUUGCUGUUUUAGCUGAUCCUGCAGGAAAUUAGCGUGCUAUUGGUCACCAUAUUGGGAUUAUUAGACUGACUUGUUCACACAAACUAUAUGUAAAUAAAAGCAACUCAUGCAACAAAUUCUUCCGGAUAAGCCACAGAAGUUCUGCUUCCUGAGGCAAUAUAUCCUGCCACUCGCCCCUCCCCGAUGCAAUUCAGAAACAGGUAGCGCUGGCUUUGCUUUGCGAAAAUGAAAUACUACCUUCAGUCUCACCACCAAAGCAGCCCAAAAUAAUUGCAGAAAUUGUCAGUUUUGGGGAAGACUAAACUGCGAAUAUUGGAAAUGAUAUACAAACCUUCCAUAAAUUUCUUCUGAGAUUUCAAUAGCAAAUAGGAACCUUGAUAUAAAAGCAAAGAGAUGGGAGGAGAUAAGAUCAUGUCAAUGAACAGAUCAAACACACGAUGUGCCGCCUGGAUCCAGAUCCGCCCCCUCCGCCACCGGAAAGUGCAGCAGACGGGAAUGACACGGCUACCAAGAUUUUUUUAUCCCACAAAUGCGUUGCUCACUGGAUUUGACAAAACACGUUUACAUAUUAAAUUCAGAAAACCAUGAUACUUUAGUACAACAAGUAGAUGCAAAAAAAAUCUAUCCUUAAAUAAAGUGGCCGGUGCUAUAAUUCUUUGCUAUGGUCCUACAAAAACUAUUAAGCUGGUCCAGAAAUUAGUAUGACUAACAUACGGCAAAUUCAAAGUCCAAGCUGUCAAUCUUUUCAAGAAAACAAUAUGUGUUUGCUUCCUUAGGAAAAGAAAAGAAUCAGGAACUUUCACAAAAUAUUCUGCAAACAAUUAUAACUCAAGAAACAGAGAAGCAUGGCCUGAAGCGACAAACUGUAUCACUCCUAGGACUAAAUUAGGAGAUCAAAAAACCCUUGCAGAAUUUACAUGCCAACAGAGAACAAAUUGAUGACCAAACAAGACUUAGUUUUGGAGUACUAAUAAGAAAGAUAGGUACAUGGAUGAUUGUUCAUCAUAGAUAACUUAGUAGAUACUCCCUCCGUUUCUUUUUAGUCUGCAUAUAAGAUUUAGUCAAAGUCAAACUUUACAAAGUUGGACCAACAUUAUAGAAAAAAGAGUCAAUUACACCGGUGGUGCUAGAACUUGGCGGAAAUAGUCACUUUGGUGCUAGAAGUUGCGGUGUACAUUGAAGCGGUGCAAAAACUUGGUUUAGACGUGCAAAUACAGUGCAUAUCCCGUUUUGUAUACAUUAUCUGUGUUGACUAGGCGCGUGGGGUCCACUGUCAGCCCGUGAACUGGAAAGAAUGUUUUUUCGAAAACCCCCUCACCAAAAAAUAUUAUUUUGACAAAAAAAGACCAUACAGAUCUGGCACUUUACUUCUCUAUGCCCAGUGGGUCCCGCCUGUAAAUAUCAACAGAAAAAAUAUUCCAGGCAGGUUUCGAACCCGCGACCACAGGCUACCAAAACAACCUACUAACCACUUCACCCUACGCUUAAACUAGUGAAAAAUGAUAACUAUUGUUUAAAUACUUGGGAGUGACGCUUACGGAGCUUAAAUGGGCUGAAGAUAUUGCAGCCCAUUUUGCACAAGCUAUAUUUAUAAGAUAUUUUAAAACAUAAGCAAUAAAAAUUAUGUUCCAAUAUUUGUGUGUUAUCAAUACUAUGUAAAUAAAAACAAUGAAAUAUAUAACCAUGUAUAUAUAAAAUAUUUAGUUAAUACGGAAAUUAAAAUGUAUAUUAGAUACAAUGUUUAAUGAAUACAAAAAAUGUAUACACUCAUGGCUUAUAUUUAAAUUUUAAAAUGAUGAAUACAAACAUUUACUUUAUCUAUAAUUACUCACAUGCCUAUAUUUUUUACUCAUGACUUAUAUUNNNNNNNNNNNNNNNNNNNNNNNNNNNNNNNNNNNNNNNNNNNNNNNNNNNNNNNNNNNNNNNNNNNNNNNNNNNNNNNNNNNNNNNNNNNNNNNNNNNNNNNNNNNNNNNNNNNNNNNNNNNNNNNNNNNNNNNNNNNNNNNNNNNNNNNNNNNNNNNNNNNNNNNNNNNNNNNNNNNNNNNNNNNNNNNNNNNNNNNNNNNNNNNNNNNNNNNNNNNNNNNNNNNNNNNNNNNNNNNNNNNNNNNNNNNNNNNNNNNNNNNNNNNNNNNNNNNNNNNNNNNNNNNNNNNNNNNNNNNNNNNCAGUGUGUACUGAAAUAAUACACGAAUUUUUUAAAAUAAGGUAUUUCGUUUGUAUGCUAGGUAGUUUUUAAAAUAAAUGUAUCAAUGAUUUGAAAAUAACACAUGAACAUUUUUGGUCAAUAUACAUUUUAAAAUUCUGUAUUAGCAAAAUAUUUUAUAUAGUACAUGGGUGUAUAUUUAAAUGUUUUUGUUUACUAGUCAUGGUUUGUUUGUAAAAAAUUUAUUGCACACAUACAUUUAAACAUAAUUUUGGUAACUUACAUUUUAUAAAUAUAUCUUUAAAAAACAGCGCGUGCAAAAUGGGCCGCAAUAUCUGCAGCCCAUUUAAACUUCAGAUGCAUACCUGCUAAAUUCAUGUUGCUAAAAAAACUUGGUGAAUACAUAUAGUUUAGUUAUCCAUUGAGAACGUCGUGAUACCCACAGCAUACUGGUUGUACUAGUUUGCUCUCUAUCCGUGGUUGCUUGUUCGAGUCUUGAUCUUGCCUUUUUCAUGUUAGUUUUGACCAGCGGGCCUGUUGAUUAAAGAAGUAAAAUGACAUGUGGAUAUAUACUUUUCGGCAAGUGGGACCCACACGCCUAGCCAGCGCAUAAUCCGUAUACCAACGCGAUUAGCACUGUAUUUGCACGACCAAGCCAAGUUUUUGCACCACUUCAAUGUACACCGCAACUUCUAGCAUCAAAGUGACUGUUUACGCCAAGUUCUAGCACCACCAACGUAAUUGAUUCUAGAAAAAAAUACCAUCAUCUACAAUACUAAAGUUAUAUGUCAUGAAAAUUAAUUUCAUCAUUCAUUUAAUAAUGUUAAUAUCAUAUCGUGAAUGUUGAUAUCUUUUCCUACAAAGCUAGUCAAACUUUACAAAGUUUGACUUUGACCAAUUCUUAUAUGAACUAAAAAAACGAAGGGAGUACAUAGAUGAUGUAUAACUCGUCAGGCAUAUGGAGCUAUCAUAGCAUGGAUAACUCGUCAGGCAUAACAUAGCUGCAACCAACACAAGAGAGGUAUUCUAGAUAGAUACAUACAUAGGUAGACAGAGAUAUGAAUCAAAGGGGGGAUCCCAUGCACUUACCUAGAAUUUGUCUUCGGAAGGUUUGUGCGUGGCUGGUGAAGGUUGCGGCUGAUGGGGCUAUCCACGGCUGCGACUCCGGGGCAGGAGGGCGGGGUAGGGGGCAGCGGACGGAUGGAGCUCAGGGUCGGAGUCGUCGGCGGCUGCAGCACCCACGGCGACAGGGACGCGGGGUAAGGGGUGAGCGCGCCUCCAGGCGAGGCAGGUGGCGGACUAUGUCGGGGGCUCGAGGCAGACGGGGUCGUGGGCAGUAGACGGCUGGAGCUCGAGGUCGGGGGCGGCGGACGACCGGAGCUCGGUGUCGGGGCCGGCGGAUGGAUGUCCAGCUGCUACUUGCAGCUCGGCGACUCGGAUCUUCGGCUUGGCAUCGCCGGAACCAACGACCAGAAGCCGCGCCAGUCCCCUACUGUGCCGUCCCCAGAGACCUCGCCGGCGUACCCGACACCACGGCGACUGCCCGGGCCCGGGCCUCCAUGCCGACGGCAUAGUGGCGCGAACAGGAGGCCCUGCCACCGCUCGGGGACCGGGGUCUGCGCAAGGGCCGUCCCCAGAGACCUCGCCAGCGCACCCGACACCACGGCGGCUGCCCGGGCCCGGGCCUCCAUGCCGACGGCAUAGUGGCGCAAACAGGAGGCCCUGCCACCGCUCGGGGACCGGGGUCUGUGCAAGGGCUCUUGUGUGUAGCUGUUGUUCACUAGGUGUUUGUGUGGUUCUCCUAUCGGUUUGACAACAUUGGUUCUCAUCGAGAGAAAUAUUACCCGCUACUAUAUUGCUUCACCCUUCCUCUUUGGAGGAAAUCCUAACGCAGCUCACAAGUAACAUAUGGGUCAACAGUAAAUCUUGGUAAAAUAUCCUAAAGAACCCUGAAGUCAUGUGAUUAGAAGUUGGUUGAUCUUUAUGUGGUCAUGCGAUGAUCACGAAUAUAGAUCGGUCUCCAUGUGGUUAUGCGAUGAUCACAAGAUCGACCCCUGGUGGUUAUGCGAUAACCACUAGCAUGAGUAAGUUGGUCCAUGAGAUCUUAACGCCGCCUUCACUUUCAUAGUUUAUCCUACUAGUAUUAUGUUUAUCACCCAUGAUUAACCUGUAUAUGCCAUGCUACUGUUUGUCUUGAUUGCUUUGAUUGCUGUGAGCUUGCAAAUACAUUCAAUGUACGCACUUGGCUUAUCAUGCCAGAUACAGGAGAACCCGUGCAUGGAGUUGAUGUUGACCCGUACCUCGCGAACUAGGACGUGUCCCAGUAGUGUCCCUUUGGAAUGGAGUUCCACUGCCCCGUUGUUCCGCUGCCGUGUAGUUUCAUCAACUAGUAUCGAGGCGCUGGAGAUGUUCCACAAAUAAUGUACAUAUUGUAGCCACAAUGGAUGUGCCACUUGGCCUCGCUCCUUUAUGUAAUCAUCGAACCCAUGUACCUGUACUAUAUUAAUACACUAGUAGAAAAAUGGUCAAAUCUGAGACACAUUAGUGACGGUUUGAUUUUGAGCCAACACUAAUGUGUCCAUUAGUGCCGGUACCAACGGCUAGCCGGCCGCUCUCAUUAGUACCGGUUUGUGGCGAACCUUUAGCACCGGUUCAUGCCACGAACCGGUACUAAUGAGAGUGGUGGAAGGAUGUUGUCAGUCUGGGGCCCCUCCAGCACGAACCGGUACUAAAGGUCAUCCUACAUAAACCCUUCGCCCACCCGAGCUCGCUGUGUUCUUCCCCUUUCCCCUCUCCUCCUCUGUUCUUCCCCUCUCUCCCUCGAUCUCAUCAGACAUUUUGCCCAAAAUUUGUCAAGAUUUGAAGGCCCCCAUCCAUUCAAAUGAUCACAAAGGUUGGCAACUUUGUCCUUUCAUCUCUCAUUGCUAGAUUAGCUCUUGCAAUGCUUUGUAUAGUGAUUAAUUUGUGAGUUUAGUAAUUUGGGAGGAAUUAUAUGUGCUAGUAUUUGAUUUAUAUGCAAUUUGAGGUAAAAAAUAACACUUAGUUUGCAUAUGUAGGUGUGGUUUACUUAGUGCCUUCUAAAUCUCCGUCGUAGCCACCGUCGAUCGCCCGCACCGUCCCGUCGCCGGCACCACCUUGCGGUGAGGCUCUUGUUCAUGAAUGUUUUACAUUACCAAAUUGAUGUUUGUGUGAUUUGGAUAUAUAGUUACUCGUAUAAUUAUCUUACCCGUACGUUGUUUGUGUGCGUUGUUUGUUAUACAUAGUGCCAUGGUUUUGAUAUCCGUCCCCGUUGGCCCUCGUCCUUGUUAUGAUUCGGAUGUGGUAUAUUCUAUUUUAAAACUAGUUGUUUCAUUUCGUGUUUAUGACAAAUUAUGCCCAUCAAGUUGACAUAGAUAUUUUUAUCUAGGAGGUAUGUGAACCGGAAAUUCCAACCGACCCUAUUGUCGAGAGGUUAAAUUUAGUUGAAAGAGAAAACGAGUAUUUGAAAGAAAAAUUGAAAAGAAUUGAGGGGAAGAAGAUGGAAUUGGAGUUGCAUGUUGUCGAUGUCGUCGAUGAUCACAAGAUCAAGAUGGAGAAAAUGCGGUUGAAGAUUAGAAAGAUUAGAAAAUAUGCCAUUGAUAGUGUGGCUUGGUAUCAUUAUGUUGUUGGAUCAAUUGUUACCUUAGUUGCGAUCUUGAUCGCAUUUGUUGUUGCAUUUAAAUUCUUUAGCUAGAGAGUUAUUUGUAUGUUGCAUUUAAUUAAGUGUUGUAUAUGAACUUUAUGUAUGAACUUGUAUUAAUUUGGUCUAUUCGGUGUUGUGUAAUGAAGAUGAGCCGACAAUGGAUGUAUGAUGACCGAUGCUCUCCCGAGUUCAUUAAUGGCGUGCAUACUUUUCUGCUUGCCGCUGAGGCAAACAAGCGGGCGGAUGGUUUUAUGCCUUGUCCAUGUGCUGGCUGUAAGAAUGGUCACAAUUACUCUACGUCAUGAACCAUUCACGUCCACCUAUUUGAGUCCGGUUUCAUGCCCCACUAUAAUGUUUGGACCAAGCACGGAGAAAGAGGGGUUAUGAUGGAAGACAAUGAAGAAGAAGAGGACGACGACAGCUAUCCUGGCCAUGGGUUCCCUGAAUACGAUGAUACAACAAUGUGGGAAGAAGCUGAGCCGGCAAUGCGGGAAGAAGCUGAGGCAUCAGAUGAGCCCGCUGAUGAUCUAGGUCGGGCCAUUGCCGAUGCAAAGAGAAACUGCGCAAGUGAUUUGGAGAAGAAGAAGUUGCAGUGCAUGUUUGAGGAUCACAAGAAAUUGUUGUACCCGAAUUGCGAAGCUGACAAAAAAAAGUUGGGCACCACACUAGAAUUGCUACAAUGGAAGGCAAAGAAUGGUGUGUCUGACAAGGAAUUUGGAAAGUUGCUGGUAAUGAUAAAGAAUAUGUUUCCAAAGGACAACAAAUUGCCCGAGAGUACGUAUGAAGCAAAGAAGGUUGUCUGCCCUCUAGGGUUAGAGGUGCAGAAGAUACAUGCAUGCCCUAAUGACUGCAUGCUCUACCGCGGUGAGUACGAGGAUUUGAACGCAUGCCCGGUAUGCAGUGCAUUGCGUUAUAAGAUCAGUCGCGAUGACCCUGGUGAUGUCGAGGGUGAGCGCCCCAAGAAGAAGAUUCCUGCCAAGGUGAUGUGGUAUGCUCCUAUAAUACCACAGUUGAAAUGUUUGUUCCAAAACAAAGAGCAUGCGAAGGCAAUGUGGUGGCACGGAGAAGACCGUAAGAAAGACGGAAAGUUGAGAGUACCCGCUGACGGUUCGCAGUGGAGAAAAUCGAGAGAAAUUACAGGGAGGAGUUUGAAGGUGACCCAAGGAACGUAUGGUUUGGUCUAAGCGCAGAUGGCAUUAAUCCUUUUGGGGAGCAGAGCAGCAACCAUAGCACCUGGCCUGUGACUCUAUGUUUGUAUAACCUUCCUCCUUGGUUGUGCAUGAAGCAGAAGUUCAUUAUGAUGCCAGUGCUCAUCCAAGGCCCUAAGCAACCCGGCAACGACAUUGAUGUGUACCUAAGGCCAUUAGUUGAAGAACUAUUACAGCUGUGGGAUGGAACAGGUGUACGUGCGUGGGAUGAGCAUGGAAAGGAAGAAUUUGACCUAAAGGCGUUGCUGUUCGUGACCAUCAAUGAUUGGCCUGCUCUCAGUAACCUUUCAGGACAGACAAACAAGGGAUACCGCGGAUGCACGCACUGUUUCGAUGAUACCGACAAUAUAUAUUUGGAAAGUUGUAGGAAGAAUGUGUACCUGGGACAUCGUCAAUUUCUUCCGAGCAGGCAUCCCGUAAGAAAGAAAGGCAAGCAUUUCAAAGGUGAGGCGGAUCACCAGACGAAGCCUCGCCACCGUACUGGUGCUGAUGUACAUGAUAUGGUCAAGGAUUUGAAGGUAAUCUUUGGAAAAGGUCCAUCCUAUAUAUACAACACUUGCAAAAAAUUCAGUUUCCCUCUGUUUCUUCCUCUCCGUCGACGACACGCCGCCUGCCCCGAUCGACGCCGUCGCCGCACCCGCGCGUCGCCGCCCCGGCCGUCCCCGCCCCUCGUCACCGCCCCCNNNNNNNNNNNNNNNNNNNNNNNNNNNNNNNNNNNNNNNNNNNNNNNNNNNNNNNNNNNNNNNNNNNNNNNNNNNNNNNNNNNNNNNNNNNNNNNNNNNNNNNNNNNNNNNNNNNNNNNNNNNNNNNNNNNNNNNNNNNNNNNNNNNNNNNNNNNNNNNNNNNNNNNNNNNNNNNNNNNNNNNNNNNNNNNNNNNNNNNNNNNNNNNNNNNNNNNNNNNNNNNNNNNNNNNNNNNNNNNNNNNNNNNNNNNNNNNNNNNNNNNNNNNNNNNNNNNNNNNNNNNNNNNNNNNNNNNNNNNNNNNNNNNNNNNNNNNNNNNNNNNNNNNNNNNNNNNNNNNNNNNNNNNNNGUCGUCGCCGCCCCGUCGUCGCCGCCCCGUCCCGUCGCCCCGUCGUCGUCGCCGCCCCGUCGUCGCCUCGCCUGUGAGCUCAUGCCCCGACCGCCAUGUCCACACACACACACACACACACACACACUAGUUUUUUUGUUAUAAAUUUUAGUUAUAGAAAUUUUUCUGUUUUUUAGUUAUAGAAAUAUCUAUAGAAAUGCUAGAAAUUUUUCUGUUUUUUAGUUAUAGAAAUAUUAGAAAUGUUAGUUAUAUAGAAAUGUUAUAAAUUUUUUCUGUUUUUUAGUUAUAGAAAUGUUAGCAAUUUUUUCUGUUUUUAGUUAUAGAAAUAUUACAAAUGUUAUAGAAAUGUUAGUUAUAUAAUCAGAAAUGUUAGUUAUCACAAUCUAAUCAUUUAAAAAAUGUUACUUUUUGCAGGCAUAUAGUAUUUGUUUUCGAUGAAAUGCCCGGCCCGCAUCCUCGCUGUCGACCCGUUCGUGACGACGUCAUGCUUCAGAGAACCCAUGUCCGGGACUGGGCUCCGCCGGGCUGGCACUGGGAGGUGCUACCUGGAGGGCCGCGCCGCUUGGUGAGGAACCCGGCCUCGGGUCCCGUCGUCGACCCUGAUCUCCUUUGGUGGUGUUCAUGUGGGCCACAUUUGGUGCAGAGGGAGCCGGCCCCGCCGGAGGUGGUGCGUCGUCGUGUCAGGGAGGAGGACGAGCACGUCCAUCGCUACAUGGAUGCUAUGGACGACGUCAGGUUCUCCACUACUUGGCAGGUUCUUUGGGCAGAUGACCGAAGAUAUGAUCCUGUGAUGGUUCCUUCUCUUUGGGUGUCCACCGCCCAUGCCCCAGGAACCGCGAGUGGCCUAGAUUCUUCUGUAGUACUCGAUCUUUAUAGGUACCUAGCCAGUGAUGUAUUCGAUAUAUAAUAUUCGAGACGAUGUAUUCGAGAUUAUAUAUAUUAUCGAGACGAUGAUGUAUUCGAGAUUAUAUAUUAAUUGAGACGAUGCAUAUAUUAUGUACUAUAUGAUUUAGUUUUUCCUUAUUGAUUGCAUCCAUGCAUUGUAAUUUGAAUACUAAAUUGUUUUAUAUUUCUUCUGUAUUAGUUAAGUAAAAGCUAUGGCGGACAAUACCGACAGAGAGAGAGAAGAGGAAUUGUUCGACAUCAUACGCAGCCCUCGCAGGCUAGAUGAUCUGAAUGAAGCAGAUGACGGCUCCCAAUAUCUGAACAAUACCGGAGAUGGUGAUGAAAAGAUAUUCGAUCUCAACGACCGAGCUGAUGAAUUCAUGAACUAUGAUUAUGAUUAUGAUGACACAGACAUUGUUUAUGAUGACACAGACAAUGUUGAUCUUCAAAUAACAAAGACUACCGGCGAGGUAUAUUUAUAUAAGCAGGCAUCUGGUGAUCAUCACAUGUUUUUUUAUUUGAAGAUAUAUUAACGAAUCGAUCUUUCUUCUUUCAGACCUCCGGAUCGAGCAAAUCUGCUUCUAUAGACAACAGGACAAAGUGAGGCCUGAGCAGAAAGUUGAAGGAGGGUGUAAAGUACAACAUUGACUCCGUCAAACCUAGUGGCGAACCCCUCAUGCCUAAGAACAUUGCAAACAAGUGGACUCGUCAGUGCGAAGUUCUUGUGAAGGACCAACUCCCGAUCUCCAUUCAAGAAUGGAAAGAGCCAAAAAACUAAACGUCCAGGUGUUACUUGGGUCGACGACCGAGCAAAAAAAAACCCUUUGGGAAUCUCUGAUGGAACAUUUCACCCUACUAGAUUAUUUCACUGAAGGAGAUGUGGAGAAAGUCAAGGGCGCUGCUCUUAAAAAGAUGGCAAUUGCAUUCAACACCCACAAGAAAACUGUAUGGGCCAACUACCUCGCUGCAGAAAGGAAGACUCCAGAAUUCACGGGAACACUGGAGAAGCAAAGAGAACACCGGGCCGAUUUCAUGAAAUUCAAGGAAUCAGAAUUAUCUAAGGAAUGGUCGAUAAAAAACAAGGCCAAUGCCGCAAAAAAGACGCAGUUCCAUAGGCUGGGUCCAGGUGGCUACGUGGUGGGAAUGCCUAAGUGGGAUAAGUCUGAGCAAGAGAUGGAAGAUGCAGGGGUCACUCCGGUUACUAGGAGCUGGCCCCCCAGGUGCAGAACUUGGUUCUAUGCGCAAGGGGGGGCGUUGGACCUGAAGACAUGCCUGGUUUCGUAGAAGGCAAGUCUAAAAGGAGCUGAACAAAAGAUACUUGACGCAAUAGAAGAAGCUCGAACGGGGGUGUUCACGCCCAACAGAGAGAACGACGAGCUUACGCGCGCCCUGGGAAAUCCUGAACACCCGGGUAGAACAUGAGGCAAGGGCGUUAUUCCAUGGUAUGAGGGCUUUUCGGAAUGGAACGCCGACUACAGGUCCCGUGCAAGAAAGAAGAUGGAGGAGGAGAAGAAGAGGAAGCUGGAGGAGGAGCAGAGGAAGCAGGACGCAGAACGCCUUCAAGGCCUAGAAGCAAGGCACGCGGACUUGGCACUCAAAUUCCAGCAGCAGCAGCAGCAGAUUGACUCACUUAGCCAGGAAAGGGGGUCUCAACAGCGGCAACAACAACCGGAUGAUAGUACAUCAUUGGAUAGCACCGUCCCAUCCAUGCCGAGAAGCAGCGUUGGUUCCGCCCCGGGCAACACACUGCUGGAUACAUACCCUGUGGAUGACAUCAUAGAGAACACUAACUGUGAGCUACACUCCAAAAUGAAGAACAUAUCUAUGAAGGUGGCAGACGCCGUUGCUUUUACAUUUACCCCCAAAGCAACCUUCCAUUACAACCCGAUUCCAGAGGGCUAUGCUCGUGUCUUGGUUGAUGAAGUGCUGGACCCAUAUUCGGGGCUCACGCUUGACAUUUCUGGAGGUGAAGACGAGCGCACACUGGGAGAGGCCAUACAUCGUAUCAUCCUAUGGAGAAAGGAUUGCAUCAUCUUUCGAAGUCCACCGACACCGCGUCAUCUGCCGACUCCUCCUCGAAGUCCGCCACCGAGUCAGCAGACUCCCGCUCCUCCAGGUCCACGAACGCGUGAGCCGAGUCCUCCUCAAAGUCCGCCACCGAGUCAGCAGACUCCCACUCCUCCAAGUCCAUGAACGCGUGAGCCGACUCCUCCUCGAAGUCUGCCACCUCCUCCAAGUCCCCGAACACGUGAGCAGACUCCUGCUUCAAGUCCGGCACAACGUCAGCCACUCCUCCUGCUUCAAGUCCGGCACAGCGUCAUCCACGUCAGCCGUCUUCGCCAUCUUAGCAAUCGCAGAAGAGACACGCCGCAGCUAUGGUGCGUAGCGGUACGAGUCGAGGUAGUACAGGAAGUACAGGCGGAGACAAGCGAUAGAAAUAUGGUCCAAGCCUCGCUCCUCUUCCUCAGAGGCCUUACGACAUGACCGAGGAGCAAAACGCAGCCAUAGUGCAGGCCCAAGUGGACACCCAUUUUGGACCAAAACCGGCACCGCCGCCAAGGGAGAAAGUGCCUGAGAAAGUUAUCGACCACUUUAUUCAUAUGGCAAGAAAACCAGCUCUCGAGCCUGUUGACUCAGACUAUGAGCGCCAAAUCAGGAAGCUACAUCGAGCACGACUAUAGAAGGAAGCGAGCUCGAGCUCGAGCCAACAAGCAGCUGGCAAAGAAUGCGGGAAAACCGUUCCCCAGCUAGGAGAACAGGCGGCGCAAUUGAUCCCCCCGCUUGUUGUGCCAACAACACAUGAGAGUACGCGCGCCCAAUAUUAUUGUGGGCAAACCAUUAACGUUCCCUAGCUGGGCGAUGUGGUAAUAACCGAGGAGCAUAUAAUGCAGGCUGAAAUGCUCAAGAUCACUGUUGGACAACUCCUCGAAAUCGAGCCCAUGUCUCCGCUUAGAGAGGAGGAAAUAAAACGGAAAUAUGUCCGGGCCAACCUUUGGUCGAGCCAGACAAGGUCAAGAACCUCCCAACGAGAAUGUAUGAAUUGCAUCAAUGGUACAUGAACAUUACCAAGAUUUCCAAUCGAGUGUCCCUCAUGGUGAAUGUCAAGGAGGAUCAUUACUUCCAUGAGAAAGCUCUGUCUAUUGAGUAUUCAGAACUAUUUCAGUUAUACAAUCAAGACGCACUCGACAAAUCUAUCUUCGGUUGCUAUUGUCUGUAAGUGAUUUCUUUCUGUAAUUUAAGUCUCAAGCUAGCUAUAGUGAUCAUUUUGAUUAAUCAUUACAUGUAAUUAUCCUCACUAUAUUCUUUUAUGUGGUAUUAUAUGCAGGAUGAAGAUGUAUGAAAUGAAAAAAUCUGGACGCUAUGGCAUUGGGUUCAUUGACCCAAAUACCAUUAAUGAGUACACAUGGAAUCUUCCAAUUUAUCAAGCAAGUGGAGAGGAAAGCAUGCUAGAGUUCUUCAAGCGCCUCAAUACCAAUGAAGAUAACCAAUGAAGAUAUACUACUUCCUUACAACUUCCUGUGAGUCACUGUCUUGUGCUACAAAUUCUGUUUUUGCUUACUAGCUAGCUAGAUGUUAAUAAUUAAGUGUAUAUGGUUUACGGUAGUUGAUUAGUGUUAUGCAGAUGCCCGCUUAAUUAAGACAUGCAAACAUGUGCGCAUGCAGUUUCCACUGGAUCUUGUUAGACAUUAAAGUUGACAAAGGAAUAGUUGAAGUACUGGACUCACUACUUAAAGAAGAAAAAGACUACACCAUCAUGAAGGGGAUAGUCAACAGGUAAUUUCAAUCAUUAUUAACUAUAUCUCGGCCUAUUUAGUUCGUCAUUUCCUGAUAUGAACUAUUUAGUAACCCCUUUAUUAUUUUUCUUUGCCGGCGGGCCGGGCUUGGGCAAAGUUCAUCAAGGUGACUCCAGGCAAAUGGGCAAAAAAGCUGUUUUGGUAUCGACCAAAGGUAAGUAAUUAAGUAGUACCAUUAAUUAAUUAUCAUGCUUGAUUAAGCAUUAUCUGAUUCAAUUCCAUUCUCUUAAAGGCACUGAAGCAGGCGCAGGGGAAUGAUCUGUGUGCAUUCUACGUUUGCGAGAACAUUCGCAUGAUGGCGUCCGAAAGGAGCAGAUUUCAAAGAUAGGAAUGGGUACGUUUGUCAGAACACUAUUCACACUCGAUAUCUAGUCACACAACUAAUACACAUGCAUAUUGAUCUCCUUCUUAAUAGUUCAGAGAGGUGCGGGAGCAGCUCCAGCAGCGGACCGCAUACUAGCAUUUCAAGAGGAAAUAGCGGGAUUUUUGCUCGACCAGGUCAUAGAUCCCAAAGGAGAAUACUAUUACCCGCUACCGCCCCCAUGAACCACUUGUCAUCGUGCUCCGAAGGCACCAAGGCAACAUGUAGGAGAAAUUGUAUAUGUAUAUACAUGUGUAUGUGUGAAUAAUUAAUGGUGUUGGUUGUGAGAUAUUCGAUGAUAUAUAUAUAUAUAUAUAUAUAUAUAUGCGGUUCUACGUACGAGAAAAUCUAUUUAUAUAUAUGCAUAACGUGUACAAUUUGUAGUAUUGUAAAAUACCAGCAAACAAAAAAGAAUUAAAUGGAAAAUAAAGCCAAAACCCCCCCCAAACAUUUAGUACUGGUUGGUGUUACCAACCGGUAAUAAUGGUCUACCAGCACCCGUGCCUGGCCCGUGCCACGUGUUGGCACUUUAGUGCCGGUUCGUGACGAACCGGUACUAAAGGGGGGGCCCUUUAGUCUCCACUCUUUACUGCUGGUUGUAGAACCGGCACUAAAGGCCCUUACGAACCGGCGCUAAAGCCCGGUUCUGCACUAGUGAUAAAGUGGUUGUUUAUGUUCAAAUUGUUGUGUGUUGCCAAAAGACAUGAUCUCUGGGCUGGCAGCACAAGGUAAACCAGUUGCUCUGAGCCAGGGUGCCACAACCGCCCUCCGCCGCCCUCCUAGCCACAUCUCGACGACCCUUGAGUUCUUCUUCCUCUAGAACCGGCCUCGCUCCACUGCCCAUCUUGCCACACCGCUGCAUGUAGAAAAUCCCGCAUGUGGAUCGUUCUCUGCUUCUUUGCCUAAAACGUAGCUCAGUCGGCGUCCUUUCCAUUUUCUGAUCUCGUCCUCACAACAUUUUAGAGAAGCCACUGUGUUGCUAUCUUUCUAUUAAGAUAAGGAUGAUACUUUUUUUGUGGGCGUAUGUGUCAUCACCUAUUAUUGGCCAGUAAUUGUAUUCUUUGUACCUCUUUGUGCAAACAGGGAUAUUCAUUUCACCUCGUUGCUAUUGCAACCUUUUGGUGAACUUCAUAAAUCAUUUUUUUCUUAAGAGUGUUUCGUACAGUUCUACUAAAAUGUUACACGACCAUUUCUAUAUUUAAGUGGGACUGCACAAAGGGAGAUUAAAGUUCCUAUCUUCAUCCAACUUUGAGCCUAAUCUUCUCCAAUAAGUAGUUAGUCCUAAGAGAGAUUGCAAAGGUGACCGGCUUCUAUUUAUGUGUUUAUUAUUUCAUCAACGAUGGCACUAUUAUUGUAAUCACACUUACUCAAUAUCUUUGCGAACAGGGAUGCUCAACUCUAUUUUAGUAGAACUGCACAAAAUGAUCGGAAUGUUCCAUGCAUCCAACCCCUCCUUUCUUUGCCAACAUGUCUUGCCGAUUUUGACAGAGUUGCGAGAAAGUAGCUGCCGACCAAUGAACAUCGUCGCUAGGAAAUUAAAGCACGCCGACGGACAACAUGCCUACAGGCAUCAUCGAUCAAUUUUUACUUAUUAUUUAUUUGUACACCUUCUCACAACUUUGUCUUCCGUUCUGAUGUAAAUAUUGGCUCUGAUCUGCGAACCAUUUAGAUGCAUCAGGAUGGAAGUUAGUUUUCUUUGAAUUUGAUGGAAUGUUGUAACGAGACAACCUUCCAGGAGGCAAGACACAUGAAAUAAAAGUUGAAAGCUUCAUAGCAUUGUACAUUUCCAUCUCGCUGAAAAAUUAUGCAUACAUAUAUUGUGUAAAAAAUUGUUGAAAGCUUCAUAGCAUUGUCAGAAUCCAUUCAACUUCCUUCCACCGACAUGUGGGACAUCCAGCAUCCGGGUCCACGUGCCAUGCACUAAAUUAUAGUGCACAACCGCAUGGGAGACUCACCCAGGUUGUUGCACCGCAAUAAUAAUGACUAAGGAGCAGUCAAAUCAUAAAUCCCCACCUUUCCACUAUAAGUUGCUCGGAUGAAGCAUCCAUCAAUUCAUUCUUAUUUGAAGCCUCUUCUACUAGUACCUCCUUUUAUUCAUGAACACCCACCACAUGCGAAGAUUAGACGGUAGCAGCAAGUGUAUGGGGAUGGUUCCAGAUAACAAAUAUUCCCUCCAUUUCGGAUUAUCGGGGUUCAGUUCAAAAAUUUAAACCAAUAAAUGAACUACUAGAUGGUGAGCGUUUACUAGCAUCAUGUACGUAUUAAUUGCAAUGCAUGCAUGCGUGAGCAAUACAAUGACCAAGAACAUUUACGUGCAUUGCUUAGUUUUCUCUUAAUCCUUGCACAAACGAUUUAAUGCACUUUGAAAUAUAAACAUGUGAAUGAGAGCAAUAAAACUGAGACCUACAAAUAGUAGCAGUACAAAAUUGGAGACAAGCCCUAUAAACCAUAUGUGAGUGAUCUACUGUUGCAGGACGGUUGACGGGACUAGUAGAAAGUGAAGCACCUUCUUAGCCAGGAUUUGCAUCGAUCUAUGAUGGUGCAAAACCAAGUGCUACUACACUAUACAAGUUCAAAAUGAGAAACUGGACCCACUCAUGGCACGCCUGUCGCAUUUGGCCCAUCGGGCAAUGCUCUUCCACUUGGAAUAUCACUGACAUGUGGGAGCGAGUGUGAGCAAACCGACCGUAAUUGACGACAAAAUGGCUAACCCGCCGCUCCUUGAGAGAGAUGAGGAGCGAGAACACAGAUAGGCUAGGCGUCGCACGGAGGCCAGGAAAUAUGGUGAUAAUGUGAGGUGGUCCAUGUAUAAUACAUGAUGUAUGAAUACUUCACUUGGCAGACGUGUUUCACAUUGCUUCGGAGUAAAUGUGGAGAAGAUUGCUUUAUCAUGAAUUAAAAUAAAAUAAGAGUGCAGACGCUGCACCGUGCGGUUCCUAGCUCCUUCUCGUUGUCGGAACUCGUUCUUAUUCCUUUCGCUGACACAUGGGACAUCUAACAUCUGGGUCCACGUGUCAUGCAAGAAAUUAGAGAUAAGUAUACAAGUGAGACUCAACAAUGGUCACACAUGUAGGUGGAGUACGUGCGGGGAGACUCACCCCGGUCGCCGCAGUAAUAAUGACUAAUGAGCAGUCAAAUUACGAAGGCCCACCUUUCCCAUAGUAAGUUGCUCGAACGAAGCAAUCAUCAUUUCAUUCUUCGUUGAAAAUCUUCUCUACAUCCUUUUAUUCAAUAAAAACACCACACCUAAAUGUUGGACGGUACUAGCAACAAAGCAUCAAGUCUAUGGGGAUGGUUCCAGAAAACAAUAUUCCCUCCCUUCCGUUUUAUGAGACUCAAUUCAAAAACCUAAACGACCAAACCAACCAAUGAACUACUAGAUGGCGAGUGUUUACUAUCAUGAAUUAAUUACAACACAUGCAUGUAUGAGCAAUACAAUGACCACAUACGAAUUUGAUGGUAUGUUUUGUGUAACUUGCAUGUAAUAUAUCUCUAACACGUGUUCAAAGUUUGCCUCGAAAAAUGCAUUAGACCCUAUUUAUAUGGAUAGAGGGCGUACAUGCAUUGUUUUGUUUUCUCUUAAUCCUUGCACACUCGCUUUCUCUUGGCAUAUCUCAGCGACUGUGAGAAAACCGACUGCAAUUGAUGGGAAAAUCGCCAACCCGCCAUUCCAUGAGAGAGACGAGGAGGGAGAACUGAAAGGAUCGAGAAGAGGUGUCUAGAGGGGGGUGAAUAGACACUAAGAAAGAAAAGUUGCAGCUUUUAAUUUCUUGAAGUUGGAGUGGAGUUUUGGCACAAGUUUAACAUUCACAAUACAUAUCAAGCAAGCAUGCGAAGAGUAUGUGAGCAGCGGAAAAUAAAGCAUGCAAAUUGCAAGAAUGUAAGGGAUGGGAUUGGAGUGUGCAAACACAAUUUGAAGACAUGGAGAUGUUUGAGCCGUGGUUCCGAUAGGUGGUGCUAUCGUACAUCCACGUUGAUGGAGACUUUAACCCAUGAAGGGUAACGGUUGCGCGAGUCCACGGAGGGCUCCACCCACGAAGGGUCCAUGAAGAAGCAACCUUGUCUAUCCCACCAUGGCCGUCGCCCACGAAGGACUUGCCUCACUAGGGGUAGAUCUUCACGAAGUAGGCGAUCUCCUUUCCCUUACAAACUCCUUGGUUCAACUCCAAAUUCUUGACGGAGGCUCCCAAGUGACACCUAGCCAAUCUAGGAGACACCACUCUCCAAGAAGUAACAAAUGGUGUGUUGAUGAUGAACUCCUUGCUCUUGUGCUUCAAAUGAUAGUCUCCCCAACACUCAACUCUCUCUCACAAGAUUUGGAUUUGGUGGAAAGAAGAUUUGAGUGGAAAGCAACUUGGGGAAGGCUAGAGAUCAAGAUUUAUGUGGUAGGAAUGGAUUAUCUUGGUCUCAACACAUGAGUAGGUGGUUCUCUCUCAGAAAAUGAAUGCUAUAAGUGUAGGCACGUUCUGAUGGCUCUCUCCACGAAUGAAGAGUGGGUGGAGGGGUAUAUAUAGCCUCCACACAAAAUUUACCGCUACACACAACUUACCAAACUCGGUGGGACCGAAUUGUGAAACUCGGUCGGACCGAUUCUGGAAAUAAUGUGACCGUUAGGAUCUUCGGUGGGACCGACAUGUAAUCUCGGUGGGACCGAUAUGGUUAGGGUUAGGGCAUAACGUAAUCUUGGUGAGACCGAUUACACAAAAUCGGUGAGACCGAUUUUGGUAAUAGACACACAGAGGGUUGGUCAGGCAAACUCAGUGGGACCGGUUCGCUAAUCUCAGUAAGACCGAAAUGUUACAAAGAGGAACAGAGAGUUUGCAUUGUAAUCUCGGUAGGACCGAUUACACAAACUCGGUGAGACCGAUUUUGGUCAUGGACAUACACAUAGAGAUUACAAUCCCAUCUCAGUGAGACCGAGAUCCCUAUCGGUGAGACUGAAAAGACUAGGGUUUUUGGCAGUGGCUAUGUCAUGAGAACUCGCUGGCGCCGGAUGGAAAGAUUCGGUAGGGCCGAAUUUGACUUUUGGUUUGGGACAUAUGUGGAUGUGAGAAAGUGGUUGAGGGCUUUGGAGCUUAUCACUAAGCACUUGAGCAAGCAAGCCAUUAAGCAACACCUCAUCCCCUCUUGAUAGUAUUGGCUUUUCUUAUAGACUCAAUGUGAUCUUGGAUCAUUAAAGGUAAAAUGUAGAGUAUUGUGCUUUGAGCUUGAGCCAAUCCUUUGUCCUCAGCAUCUUGAAGAGGUUCCACAUCCUCUAGUCCAUGCCACUUCAUUGUUGAACUUAUCUGAAACAUACUAGAUAAAAGUAUUAGUCCAACAAGAGAUAUGUUGACAUUAAUUACCAAAACCACCCAGGGAGCACUUGUGCUUUCAAUCUCCCCCUUUUUGGUAAUUGAUGACAACAUACAUCAAAGCUUUAGAUAAAGAUAUAGAGAAUAACAAAUAAAGCUUUGGAAAGACACGUAACAUGCAUAGGCUCCCCCUACAUGUAUGCAAUCAUGUAAGUAUGAAAUAUAGGAGCAUGUGAAUGCAUAAACAUGACAGAAUAAGCAAUGUGUUACAUGUAUCUUGUCUAUAUGCAUCAGAGAAAAUGAUGUGAAUAUGGGAAAUGUACCUUCAUGCUCAUGAUUCCUUCUUGCAAACAGUAUGUACAUCAGCAAGAAAUCCUCAUACACAUGAAUGUGAUGCAUAUACUUACCUUGUGGUCUUGAGUUGGCUUAGGAAGGAAUGAACCUGCGUAAACAAGGUUAGAUAACACAGAUACACCUAUUAGCCAGAGCAAACAAAAGAAGCCACAAGAGAACCAAGACUGGGAUGACAUGUAGAGAUUGAGUACUGAGUACCACAUUGGAUAUAGACAUGUCCCCAAAGGUAAAGAUGUGCAAUGAAUUCAAAGAAUUUCUUUCCCUUAGAUGUCUUGCUCCCCCUGAAUCUAGCAUGGGAUAUUGGGAGAAGAUAGGGAACAGAAAAUCAGAGCAAAGAAAGGAAACAGAGCUAAUGCAAUCAAUCAAAUAUGAACAUGUAUUUCCCCUCUUAAAGACAUGUGACUUCUCUCCUCUUGAACACCAAGCAUCUGGGGUCUCUCUCCCCCUGAGUAUUUUCUCCCCAUAUAGAAAUGAUUAAGCUUUGAUGUGAUCUCUCUCUCCCCAUUUGACAUCAAUUUCCAAGAAGGGUUCUUCUAGAGUUUUGUCACAAUUGGGUUUGGUCCUUGAGUCACAGAACAAAGUAGCAAGUGAGUGUGAUGCUGGUACAGGACAAGAAUCAUUGAGUGGAGCUGGAUCAAAAGAAGAAUGCAGGAACAAGUGGCAAGCUAUUUGUCAUGUAGUGAAAUCGGUGGCACCGAUGUGUGCGCUUCGGUUGCACUGAACGAAUUCGGUUGGACCGAAGGCAACAGACCGGUGUGACCGAGUUCAUCAGAGAGAAAACACUAGUCACCUCAGCUCACUAGACAAGUAAGAUCUCACAAGGAUUUGCAAGAAAUUAACUGAAAGAUUUGCAAAGAAUUGGAUGCAGGGAAUGCAGAACAAACGGAAAGAAUUCUAGAUGAAGUUUUUUUGAAAGGGGAAACAAGAAUGCAUGAGGAAAAUGCAAGAGCACAGAAAAGAACACACGAGAACUUCAUCUAGAAUUGGUCGGCGACAAAGUCACCUAUGUUAGAGUAUAUUGACUUGGGAGUCAAGUGAGAUCACUUGAUCAUAGGCAUACUCAUCGUUUAAGCUCAAAAUGGGGUUACCAUUUUUUGUUUAAGCAUCUUGAUGUAUUCACAUCUUGUCAAUUUGCUUUGACUCAUGACUUGGAGUAGAGCUUCUCUAAGAUGGAAUAACAUACCUUGGGUGGUGGUGUUGAUCGUGAUCAUGUAGUUGAACUUGUGUGGAUAGCUCAAGGUUGAUGUAGCUCAUCAAGAGUUGGGAGCACCACUUGGAGUUUGAGUUCAUCUACCUACAUGAGUUAGUUUUGCAAGGAAGAGAACUUGUGUAUCCAAGAUGACAAUCAUGAAGCUUAGUUGUCAAAGGAUAUGUUCGAAUGGUUUCGUGCUUGCUUGUCUUUAACCACCAUUGUGUAGAGAAUUAAAGAUGUAGAGAUUGCUCAAGAUGUUAGUGAGUUGCAAUCUCAUAGAUUUAGAUUCAUCCAAGUACCUACAAGGGUUAGAUAACAUCCAAGGUGCAAAUACUGAAGGAAAUAUGCCCUAGAGGCAAUAAUAAAGUUAUUAUUUAUUUCCUUAUAUCAUGAUAAAUGUUUAUUAUUCAUGCUAGAAUUGUAUUAACCGGAAACAUAAUACAUGUGUGAAUACAUAGACAAACAAAGUGUCACUAGUAUGCCUCUACUUGACUAGCUUGUUUAUCAAAGAUGGUUAUGUUUCCUAGCCAUGGAUAAAAGAGUUGUCAUUUGAUUAACGGGAUCACAUCAUUAGGAGAAUGAUGUGAUUGACUUGACCCAUUCCGUUAGCUUAGCACUUGAUCGUUUAGUAUGUUGCUAUUGCUUUCUUCAUGACUUAUACAAAGUUCCUACAACUAUGAGAUUGUGCAACUCCCGUUUACCGGAGGAACACUUUGUGUGCUACCAAACGUCACAACGUAACUGGGUGAUUAUAAAGGAGCUCUACAGGUGUCUCCAAAGGUACAUGUUGAGUUGGCAUGAAUCGAGAUUAGGUUUUGUCACUCCGACUGUCGGAGAGGUAUCUCUGGGCCUUCUCGGUAAUACUCAUCACCUAAGCCUUGCAAGCAUUGUAACUAAUGAGUUAGUUAUGAAAUGAUGUAUUACGGAACGAGUAAAGAAACUUGCCGGUAACGAGAUUGAACUAGGUAUUGGAUACCGACGAUCGAAUCUCAGGCAAGUAACAUACCGAUGACAAAGGGAACAAAGUAUGUUGUUAUGCGGUUUGACCGAUAAAGAUCUUCGUAUAAUAUGUAGGAACCAAUAUGAACAUCCAGGUUUCACUAUUGGUUAUUGACCGAGAAUAGUUCUAGGUCAUGUCUACAUAGUUCUCGAACCCGUAGGGUCCGCACGCUUAACGUUACGAUGACAGUUUAUUAUGAGUUUAUAAGUUUUGAUGUACCGAAGCUUGUUCGUGUUGGGGAACGUAGUAAUUUCGAAAAUUUUCCUACGCACACGCAAGAUCAUGGUGAUGGCAUAGCAAUGAGAGGGGAGAGUGUUGUCCACGUACCCUCAUAGACCGUAAGCGGAAGCGUUAUGACAACGCGGUUGAUGUAGUCGUACGUCUUCACGAUCCGACCGAUCCAAGUACCGAACGUACGGCACCUCCGAGUUCAGCACACGUUCAGCUCGAUGACAAUCCCCGGGCUCCGAUCCAGCAAAGCUUCGGGGAUGAGUUCCGUCAGCACAACGCCGUGGUGACGAUGAUGAUGUACUAUCGGCGCAGGGCUUCGCCUAAACUCCGCGACGAUAUGACCGAGGUGGAAUAUGGUGGAGGGGGGCACCGCACACGGCUAAGGAACGAUCUGUAGAUCAACUUGUGUGUCAUGGGGUGCCCCCUGCCCCCGUAUAUAAAGGAGCAAGGGGGAGGGGGCGGCCGGCCUAGGAGGGGGCGCGCCAUGGGGAGUCCUACUCCCACCGGGAGUAGGACUCCCUCCUUCCUUGUUGGAGUAGGAGAAGGGGGAAAGAGGGGGAGAGGAGGAAGGAAAAGGGGGCCGCACCCCUUGUCCAAUUCGGACCAGAGGGGGGCUGCGCGCCUCCUUCCUUUCGGCCUCUCUCCUCUAAUCCCGUAUGGCCCAAUGAGGCCCAUAUACUCCCCGGCGAAUUCCGUAACUCUCCGGUACUCCGAAAAAUACCCGAAUCACUCGGAACCUUUCCGAACUCCGAAUAUAGUCGUACAAUAUAUCGAUCUUUACGUCUCGACCAUUUCGAGACUCCUCGUCAUGUCCCCGAUCUCAUCCGGGACUCCGAACACCUUCGGUACAUCAAAACUCAUAAACUCAUAAUAUAACUGUCAUCGAAACCUUAAGCUUGCGGACCCUACGGGUUCGAGAACUAUGUAGACAUGACCUAGAACUAUUCUUGGUCAAUAACCAAUAGCGGGACCUAGAUGCCCGUAUUGGCUCCUACAUAUUCUACGAAGAUCUUUAUCGGUCAAACCGCAUAACAACAUACGUUGUUCCCUUUGUCAUCGGUAUGUUACUUGCCCGAGAUUCGAUCGUCGGUAUCCAAUACCUAGCUCAAUCUCGUCACCGGCAAGUCUCUUUACUCGUUACGUAAUGCAUCAUCCCAUAACCAACUCAUUGGUCACAUUGCUUGCAAGGCUUAUAGUGAUGUGCAUUACCGAGAGGGCCCAGAGAUACCUCUCCGACAAUCGGAGUGACAAAACCUAAUCUCGAAAUACGCCAACUCAACAUGUACCUUCGGAGACACCUGUAGUACUCCUUUAUAAUCACCCAGUUACGUUGUGACGUUUGGUAGUACCCAAAGUGUUCCUCCGGUAAACGGGAGUUGCAUAAUCUCAUAGUUACAGGAACAUGUAUAAGUCAUGAAGAAAGCAAUAGCAACAUACUAAACGAUCAAGUGCUAGGCUAACGGAAUGGGUCAAGUCAAUCACAUCAUUCUCCUAAUGAUAUGAUCCCGUUAAUCAAAUGACAACUCAUGUCUAUGGUGAGGAAACAUAACCAUCUUUGAUCAACGAGCUAGUCAAGUAGAGGCAUACUAGUGACACUCUGUUUGUCUAUGUAUUCACACAUGUAUUAUGUUUCCGGUUAAUACAAUUCUAGCAUGAAUAAUAAACAUUUAUCAUGAAAUAAGGAAAUAAAUAAUAACUUUAUUAUUGCCUCUAGGGCAUAUUUCCUUCAGUCUCCCACUUGCACUAGAGUCAAUAAUUUAGUUCACAUCGCCAUGUGAUUUAACACCAAUAUUCAUAUCUGUAUAUGAUUAACACCCAUAGUUCACAUCGUCAUGUGACCAACACCCAAAGGGUUUACCAGAGUCAAUAAUCUAGUUCACAUUGCUAUGUGAUUAACACCCAAAGAGUACUAAGGUGUGAUCAUGUUUUGCUCGUGAGAGAAGCUUAGUCAACGGGUCUGUCACAUUCAGAGCCGUAUGUAUUUUGCUAAUAUUCUAUGUCUACAAUGCUCUGCGCGGAGCUACUCUAGCUAAUUGCUCCCACUUUCAAUAUGUAUCCAGAUUGAGACUUAGAGUCAUCUGGAUCGGUGUAAAAGUUUGCACCGAUGUAACUUUUACAACGAACUCUUUUAUCACCUCCAUAAUCAAAACAUCUCCUUAGUCCUUACUAAGGAUAUUCUUGACCGCUGUCCAGUGAUCUACUAUUAGAUCAAAAUUGUAUUCCCCUGCCAAACUCAGAGCAAGGUAUACGAUAUGUCUGGUUCACAGCAUAGCAUACUUUAUAGAACCUAUGACUGAGGCAUAGGGAAUGACUUUUCAUUCUCUUUCUAUUUUCUACCAUGGUCAGGUCUUGAGUCUUACUCAAUUUCAACCUUUGCAACACAGGCAAGAACUCUUUCUUUGACCGUUCCAUCUUGAACUAUUUCAAAAUCUUGCCAAGGUAUGUACUCAUUGAAAAUCUUAUCAAGCGUCUUGAUCUAUCUCAAUAGAUCUUGAUGCUCAAUAUGUAAGUAGCUUUUACUGAGGUCUUUUCUUUUUAAAGAACUCCUUUAAAACACUCCUUUAUGCUUUGCAGAAAAAUUCUACAUCAUUUCUGAUCGACAAUAUGUCACUCACAUAUACUAAUCAGAAAGGCUGUAGUGCUCCCACUCACUUUAUUGUAAAUACAGGCUUCAUCGUAAGUCCAUAUAAAACUAUAUGCUUUGAUCAACUUAUCAAAGCGUAUAUUCCAACUUCGAGAUGCUUGCACCAGUCCAUAGAUGGAUCGCUGGAGCUUGCACAUUUUGUUAGCACCUUUAGGAUUGACAAAACCUUCUGGUUGCAUCAUAUACAACUCUUCUUUAAUAAAUCCAUUAAGGACUGCAGUUUUGACAUCCAUUUGCCAGAUUUCAUAAAUGUGGCAAUUGCUAACAUGAUUCAGACAGACUUAAGCAUCGAUACGAGUGAGAAAAUCUCAUCGUAUUCAACACCUUGAACUUGUUGAAAACCUUUCGCAACAAGUCGAGCUUAGUAGAUAGUAACAUUACUAUCAGUGUCCGUCUUCCUCUUGAAGAUCCAUUCAUUUAAUAUGGCUUGCUGAUCAUCGAGCAAGUCAAUCAAAGUCCAUACUUUGUUCUCAUACAUGGAUCAUAUCUCAGAUUUUAUGGCCUCAAGCCAUUUCACGGAAUCUGGGCUCAUCAUCGCUUCCUCAUAGUUCGUAGGUUCAUCAUGGUCUAGUAACAUGACUUCCAGAACAUGAUUACUACACCACUCCGGUGCGGAUCUUACUCCGGUAGACCUACGAGGUUCUGUAGUAACUUGAUCUGAAGUUUCAUGAUCAAUAUCAUUAGCUUCCUCACUAAUUGGUGUAUUUGUCACAGGAACUGAUUUCUGUGAUGAACUACUUUCCAAUAAGGGAGCAGGUACAGUUACCUCAUCAAGUUCUACUUUCCUCCCACUCACUUCUUUCGAGAGAAACUCCUUCUCUAGAAAGGAUCCAUUCUUAGCAACGAAUGUCUUGCCUUCGGAUCUAUGAUAGAAGGUGUACCCAACAGUUUCCUUUGGGUAUUCUAUGAAGACGCACUUCUCCAAUUUGGGUUUGAGCUUAUCAGGAUGAAACUUUUUCACAUAAGCAUCGCAGCCCCAAACUUUAAGAAACGACAACAUGGGUUUCUUGCUAAACCACAGUUCAUAUGGUGUCAUCUCAACGGAUUUAGAUGGUGCCCUUUUAACGUGAAUGCAGCUGUCUCUAAUGCAUAACCCCAAAACAAUAGUGGUAAAUCAGAAAGAGACAUCAUAGAUCGCACCAUAUCCAAUAAAGUGCGGUUACGACGUUCGGACACACCAUAACGUUGUGGUGUUCCAGGUGGCGUGAGCUGUGAAACUAUUCCACAUUGUUUUAAUUGAAGACCAAACUCGUAACUCAAAUAUUCGUCUCCGCGAUCAGAUCGCAAAAACUUUAUUUUCUUGUUACGAUGAUUUUUCCACUUCACUCUGAAAUUCUUUGAACCUUUCAAUUAUUUCAGACUUAUGUUUCAUCAAGUAGAUAUACCCAUAUCUGCUCAAAUCAUCUUGUGAAGGUCAUAAAAUAACGAUACUUGCCACGAGCCUCAACAUUCAUUGGGCCACAAACUUCAGUAUGUAUGAUUUCCAACAAAUCAGUUGCUCGCUCCAUAGUUCCGGAGAACGGCGUUUCAGUCAUCUUGCCCAUAAGGCAUGGUUCGCAAGUACCAAAUGAUUCAUAAUCAAGUGAUUCCAAAAGUCCAUCAGUAUGGAGUUUCUUCAUGCGCUUUACACUGAUAUGACCCAAACGGCAGCGCCACAAAUAAGUUGCACUAUCAUUAUUAACUUUGCAUCUUUUGGCAUCAAUAUUAUGAAUAUGUGUAUCACUACGAUCGAGAUCCAACAAACUAUGUUUAUUGGGUGUAUGACCAUCGAAGGUCUUAUUCAUGUAAACAGAAUAAAAUUUAUUCUCUAACUUUAAAUGAAUAACCGUAUCACAAUAAACAUGAUCAAAUCAUAUUCAUGCUUAACGCAAACGCCAAAUAACAUUUAUUUAGGUUUAACACUAAUCCCGAAAGUAUAGGGAGUGUGCGAUGAUGAUCAUAUCAAUCUUGGAACUACUUCCAACACUCAUCGUCACUUCACCCUCAACUAGUCUCUGUUUAUUCUGUAACUCCUGUUUCGAGUUACUAAUCUUAGCAACCGAACAAGUAUCAAAUACUCAGGGGCUACUAUAAACACUAGUAAGGCACACAUCAAACACCUGUAUAUCAAAUAUACCCUUGUUCACUUUGCCAUCCUUCUUAUCCACCAAAUAUUUAGGGCAUUUCCGCUUCCAGUGACCAUUUCCUUUGCAGUGUAAGCACUCAGUUUUAGGCUUUGGUCCAGCUUUGGUCUUCUUCACGGAAGUGACAACUUGCUUGUCUUUCCACUUGAAGUUCCCUUUCUUUCCCUUUGCCCUUCUCUUGAAACUAGUGGUCUUGUCAAUCAUCAACACUUGAUGCUCUUUCUUGAUUUCUACCUUCGUCGAUUUCAACAUCAUGAAGAGCUUGGGAAUCGUUUACGUCAUCCCUUGCAUACUAUAGUUCAUCACGAAGUUCUAGUAACUUAGUGAUGGUGACUAGAGAAUUCUGUCAAUCACUAUCUUAUCUGGAAGAUUAACUCCCACUUGAUUCAAGCGAUUGAAGUACCCAGACAAUCUAAGUACAUGCUCACUAGUUGAGCGAUUCUCCUCCAUCUUUUAGCUAUAGAACUUGUUGGAGACUUCAUAUCUCUCAACUCGGGUAUUUGCUUGAAAUAUUAACUUCAAUUCCUGGAACAUCUCAUAUGGUCCAUGACGUUCAAAACGUCUUUGAAGUCCCGAUUCUAAGACAUAAAGCAUGGUGCACAAAACUAUCAAGUAGUCAUCAUAUUGAGCUAGCCAAACGUUCAUAACGUCUGCAUCUGCUCCUGCAGUAGGUCUGUCACCUAGCGGUGCAUUAAGGAUAUAAUUUUUCUGUGCAGCAAUGAGGAUAAACCUCAUGUCACGGAUCUAAUCCGCAUCAUUGCUACUAACAUCUUUCAACACAGUUUUCUCUAGGAACAUAUCAAAAUAAACAUAUGAAAGCAACAACGCGAGCUAUUGAUCUACAACAUAAUUUGCAAAAUACUACUAGGACUAAGUUCAUGAUAAAUUAAAGUUCAAUUAAUCAUAUUACUUAAAAACUCCCACUUAGAUAGACAUCCCUCUAAUCCUCUAAGUGAUCACGUGAUCCAAAUCAACUAAACCAUGUCCGAUCAUCACGUGAGAUGGAGUAGUUUCAAUGGUGAACAUCACUAUGUUGAUCAUAUCUACUAUAUGACUCACGCUCAAACUUUCGGUCUCCAUGUUCCGAGGCCAUAUCUGUAUAUGCUAGGCUCGUCAAGUAUAACCUGAGUAUUCCGCGUGUGCAACUGUUUUGCACCCGUUGUAUUUGAACGUAGAGCCUAUCACACCCGAUCAUCACGUGGUGUCUCAACACGAAGAACUUUCGCAACGGUGCAUACUCAGGGAGAACACUUCUUGAUAAUUAGUGAGAGAUCAUCUUAAAAUGCUACCGUCAAACAAAACAGAAUAAGAUGUAUAUCAGAUAAACAUCAUAUGCAAUCAAAAUAUGUGACAUGAUAUGGCCAUGAUCAUCUUGCGCCUUUGAUCUCCAUCUCCAAAGUACUGUCAUGAUCUCUAUCAUCACUGGCAUGACACCAUGAUCUUCAUCAUCUUGAUCUAUAUCAAUGUGUCGUCACAUGGUCGUCUCGCCAACUAUUGCUCUUGCAACUAUUGCUAUCGCAUAGCGAUAAAGUAAAGCAAUUAUUUGGCACUUGCAUCUUAUGCAACAAAGAGACAACCAUAGGGCUUCUGCCAGUUGCCGGUAACUUCAACAAAACAUGAUCAUCUCAUACAACAACUUAUAUCUCAUCACGUCUUGACCAUAUCACAUCACAACAUGCCCUGCAAAAACAAGUUAGACGUCCUCUACUUUGUUGUUGCAAGUUUUACGUGGCUGCUACGGGCUGAGCAAGAACCGUUCUUACCUACGCAUCAAAAACACAACGAUAGUUUGUCAAAUAGACUCCAUUUUAACCUUCGCAAGGACCGGGCGUAGCCACACUCGGUUCAACUAAAGUUGGAGAAACUGACACCCGCCAGCCACCUAUGUGCGAAGCACGUCCGUAGAACCAGUCUCGCGUAAGCGUACGCGUAAUAUCGGUCCGAGCCGCUUAAUCCAACAAUACCGCCGAACCAAAGUAUGACAUGCUGGUAGGCAAUAUGACUUAUAUCGUCCACAACUCACUUGUGUUCUACUCGUGCAUAUAACAUCAAACCAUAAAAACCUAGGCUCGGAUGCCACUGUUGGGGAACGUAGUAAUUUCGAAAAUUUUCCUACGCACACGCAAGAUCAUGGUGAUGGCAUAGCAACGAGAGGGGAGAGUGUUGUCCACGUACCCUCGUAGACCGUAAGCGGAAGCGUUAUGACAACGCGGUUGAUGUAGUCGUAUGUCUUCACGAUCCGACCGAUCCAAGUACCGAACGUACGGCACCUCCGAGUUUAGCACACGUUCAGCUCGAUGACGAUCCCUGGGCUCCGAUCCAGCAAAGCUUCGGGGAUGAGUUCCGUCAGCACGACGGCGUGGUGACGAUGAUGAUGUACUAUCGACGCAGGGCUUCGCCUAAACUCCGCGACGAUAUGACCGAGGUGGAAUAUGGUGGAGGGGGGCACCGCACACGGCUAAGGAACGAUCCGUAGAUCAACUUGUGUGUCAUGGGGUGCCCCCUGCCCCCGUAUAUAAAGGAGCAAGGGGGAGGGGGCGCGCCAUGGGGAGUCCUACUCCCACCGGGAGUAGGACUCCCUCCUUCCUUGUUGGAGUAGGAGAAGGGGGAAAGAGGGGGAGAGGAGGAAGGAAAAGGGGGCCGCACCCCUUGUCCAAUUCAGACCAGAGGGGGGCUGCGCGCCUCCUUCCUUUCGGCCUCUCUCCUCUAAUCCCGUAUGGCCCAAUAAGGCCCAUAUACUCCCCGGCGAAUUCCCGUAACUCUCCGGUACUCCGGAAAAUACCCGAAUCACUCGGAACCUUUCCGAACUCCGAAUAUAGUCGUCCAAUAUAUCGAUCUUUACGUCUCGACCAUUUCGAGACUUCUCGUCAUGUCCCCGAUCUCAUCCGGGACUCCAAACUCCUUCGGUACAUCAAAACUCAUAAACUCAUAAUAUAACUGUCAUCGAAACCUUAAGCAUGCGGACCCUACGGGUUCGAGAACUAUGUAGACAUGACCUAGAACUAUUCUUGGUCAAUAACCAAUAGCGGGACCUGGAUGCCCAUAUUGGCUCCUACAUAUUUUACGAAGAUCUUUAUCGGUCAAACCGCAUAACAACAUACGUUGUUCCCUUUGUCAUCGGUAUGUUACUUGCCCGAGAUUCGAUCGUCGGUAUCCAAUACCUAGCUCAAUCUCGUCACCGGCAAGUCUCUUUACUCGUUACGUAAUGCAUCAUCCCGUAGCCAACUCAUUGGUCACAUUGCUUGCAAGGCUUAUAGUGAUGUGCAUUACCGAGAGGGCCCAGAGAUACCUCUACGACAAUCGGAGUGACAAAACCUAAUCUCGAAAUACGCCAACUCAACAUGUACCUUCGGAGACACCUGUAGUACUCCUUUAUAAUCACCCAGUUACGUUGUGAUGUUUGGUAGUACCCAAAGUGUUCCUCCGGUAAACGGGAGUUGCAUAAUCUCAUAGUUACAGGAACAUGUAUAAGUCAUGAAGAAAGCAAUAGCAACAUACUAAACGAUCAAGUGCUAGGCUAACGGAAUGGGUCAAGUCAAUCACAUCAUUCUCCUAAUGAUAUGAUCCCGUUAAUCAAAUGACAACUCAUGUCUAUGGUGAGGAAACAUAACCAUCUUUGAUCAACGAGCUAGUCAAGUAGAGGCAUACUAGUGACACUCUGUUUGUCUAUGUAUUCACACAUGUAUUAUGUUUCCGGUUAAUACAAUUCUAGCAUGAAUAAUAAACAUUUAUCAUGAAAUAAGGAAAUAAAUAAUAACUUUGUUAUUGCCUCUAGGGCAUAUUUACUUCAGUUCGGAGUCCCGGAUAUGAUCACGGACAUGACGAGGAGGCUCGAAAUGGUCGAGACAUAAAGAUUGAUAUAUUGGAAGCCUAUAUUUGGACUUCGGAAUGGUUCCGGGUGAAAUCAGGAUUUUACCGGAACACCGGGGGGUUACCGGAACCCUCCCGGGGGUUAAUGGGCCUUAGUGGGCCAUGAGGGAGAAGAGGAGGGCCGGCCAGGGCAGGCCGCGCCCCCCUCCCCCCAUAGUCCGAAUAGGACAAGGAGAGGGGGGGGGGGGCGGCGCCCCCCUUCCUCUUUCCCUCCCCCCAAGUCCUAGUCCAUCUAGGGAAAGGGGGGGAGUCCUACUCCCGGUGGGAGUAGGACUCCUCCGGCGCGCCUCCCCUAGGGCCGGCCGCACCUCCCCCUUGCUCCUUUAUAUACGGGGGCAGGGGGGCACCCCAAAGACACACAAGUUGAUCUACGGAUCGUUCCUUAGCCGUGUGCGGUGCCCCCCUCCACCAUAUUCCACCUCGGUCAUAUCAUCGCGGAGUUUAGGCGAAGCCCUGCGUCGGUAGAACAUCAUCAUCGUCACCACGCCGUCGUGCUAACGGAGCUCAUCCCCGACGCUUUGCUGGAUUGGAGCCCGGGGAACGUCAUCGAGCUGAACGUGUGCUGAACACGAAGGUGCCGUACGUUCGGUGCUUGGAUCGGUCGGAUCAUGAAGACAUACGACUACAUCAACCGCGUUGUCAUAAUGCUUCCGCUUACGGUCUAUGAGGGUAUGUGGACAACACUCUCCCCUCUCGUUGCUAUGUCAUCACCAUGAUCUUGCGUGUGCGUAGGAAAUUUUUUAAAUUACUACGUUCCCCAACAGUGGCAUCCGAGCCAGGUUUUAUGCGUUGAUGUUAUAUGCACGAGUAGAACACAAGUGAGUUGUGGGCGAUACAAGUCAUACUGCUUACCAGCAUGUCAUACUUUGGUUCGGCGGUAUUGUUGGAUGAAGCGGCCCGGACCGACAUUACGCGUACGCUUACGCGAGACUGGUUCUACCGACGUGCUUUGCACACAGGUGGCUGGCGGGUGUCAGUUUCUCCAACUUUAGUUGAACCGAGUGUGGCUACGCCCGGUCCUUGCGAAGGUUAAAACAGCACUAACUUGACGAACUAUCAUUUUGUUUUUGAUGCGUAGGUAAGAACGUGUCGGUGUACUGAGGUAGGGGUACCUUAGUACUCCGAACUUGUGCACGGGCAGUCGUAGCACCCCGCGGCAAGGCUUGCCGGACGCCCGUCGAGACCCUCCUCCACUUCAUAUUACUGCCAUUCAAGAACAAAGUAUCAGCUAAGAAGACAAGGCCCCGGCAAGAGGAGCUUGCCGGGAAGGACAAGACCCCAGCGAAAGAAACCCGCCAAGGAGAACAAAAGACCCCGGCAAGAGGAGCUUGCCGGGAAGGCCAACCAAGGCCCUUCAGAAGACUUGCCGUGACGCCCCGCGCGUCCCGGCAAGGCAGGACGACCGACAAGCUUGCCGCGCGACAAGAGAAGAGCCACGGCAAGACGCUUGCCGCGGCAAGGCUGCCACCAUGCACCCAACCUCCAGCACAUCCGGCGACGUGUCACGCCAAGACCAUCCCAGAAGCACAUGGCGAAGCGCUGCGCAGCCAUGCAGGGCGAGGUGGCAAGCGAAGCUGACAAGGAGGCCAUUGUGGCGAUCGAUGGCGCCCCCAACGGUCGCCUCCCUGCACUGUUGGGGCGACCAGACGGGCAUUAAAUGCCCUUGUCCCCUGCCGUCAGAGUUAGGUAGGGGACACUAUUGAGCACUGUUGUACCAACCCGCGUUUUUACCUUUCUGCCCCUCUUCCUACGCUGCCACCUGUGGGUAACCCCCUUAGGCUAUAAAAGGGAGGCCCAUGCGCACGUAGAAGGGGUUCGGCUGGUUCGAUGCACUCGUCACCAUCCUACGCUCGAGCUCUCGAGCAAGAACUAAUACGAACACAAGGCAGCAGUAGGAGUUUUAUCUCUCCGGAGAGCUCCGAAGCUGGGUAAAACCCCCCGCGUGCCGUCGCCUCGAUCUGCUCUGCGUGCGCCCUCCGCCUCCUCACCGUACCAAAAAGGGGCUCCUGCCCCAUAGGUGCUCGUGGCCACAGCGUGCCCCGACAUCUUUGGCGCGCCAGGUAGGGGGCACGCGGCGUCAAGGUCGUGCGCGGAGGAGGAAGAACUCCGCCCGCAGCGCCUCGAGCUCCAACGCCUCGGUCGAUUUCGCGGCCUUCAUAGCCUCCCUGGUUUUUGGAGCCACGACGGAAGCGGCGAAGGAAGGCGAAGACGACGGCGACGACAGGCUGCGGAGCGCUGCUCCCUUUCGACUUGGGAAGCGGAGGGGAGCGGCGUAGCUUUCGGAGGAAAGAACUGCAAGCAGCAAAGGUGGGGGAACGGCCCUGUUCCACGGUGUCGAGUAGCUCUGAUGCCCACUCCGGUAGGCGCACCUCUUCGGUGUGCUGCGCUACCGUCGAGGACGCAUCAUCGAGCUCCACCGGCAAGUGCAAGGAAGAUGCACUUAUCUGCACCAACAAGAUUCACCGGGAAGCAACAGCCGCAGCAGAGCGCAAGCCACUUGCCGCUGAAGCUCCUCGGGGGAAGAGGAAAGCCAAGUCCGGCGAGCGCAGCUCUGAUGCCCACUCCGGCAACCGCACCUCUUCGGAGUGCUGCGCCGCCGUCGAGGACGCACCAUCGAGCUCCACCGGCAAGUGCAAGAAGGCGAAAACAGCUUUACAAGAGACCGUGUCCGACAAGCGCAGCUCUGACGCCCACUCCGGCAAGUGCGCCUCUUCAGAGGGCUGCGCUGCCGUCGAGGACGCACCAUCGAGCUAAAAGCGCGGUCGUUCUUGUAUUUUUAGGUUAUGUUCCUUGAACGACCGUGCCUUGUUGCCUUGUAUGAAAAGCCUGUGCGCGGGAGGGAUCGACUCGUGGCGAAGUUGCCCCUUGAUUUAUUUUCGAGCCCCGCUCAACAAUACAAGUGCGCUGCAACUAGCCCCGACAAGGUUUCUUGCCGGAGGCAGCACCGCCAGCGGGCUGCUGACGUUCCGCACUCGGCAAGCGUGCUCGCGCCGGCAAGUUCCCCCAGAGCGUAGGGCGGAAUCAUGCAAGGCGUGGGGUCAAGUAAAGGGCAUGACAGUGCAGGUGGCAUCGUUCCAAGAAGCGCAGCCUUGCCGGGACACAGAAGACAGAAAAGCUAAGUUGCCCACAUUUGAGCGCAAAACCCAGCCAGUUUUUAAUUCCUAUGUUAUAUUCCUUGAACUGCCGCGCUUUGUAUGGAAAACCUGUGCGCGGAGGAACCGGCUCGCGGCUAAGUUGUGCCCUUGUUUUGUUUUCGAGCCCGCUCAACAAUACAAGUGCGCUGCAACUAGCCCGACGAGGUUUCUUGCCGGAGACAGCACCGCCAGCGGGCUGCUGAUGUUCCGCACUCAGCAAGUGUGUUUAUGCCGGCAAGUUCCCUAAAAGCAUGGGGUAGAGACAUACAAAGCGACAGAAUACAGGAUAUAACAUGGCAAUCGUUGCCUUAGAGCGCAAUCAGUUUUAUAUUUUUAAGGUUAUGUUCCUCGAACGAAUCGUGCCUUGUAUGAAAAACCUGUGCGCGGUGGAACCGACUCGUGGCGAAAUUUCCCCUUGAUUUGUUUUCGAGCCCCGCUCAACAAUACAAGUGUGCUGCAACUAGCCCCGACAAGGUUUCUUGCCGGAGGCAGCACCGCCAGCGGGCUGCUGAUGUUCCGCACUCGGCAAGCGUGCUCGCGCCGGCAAGUUCUCUCAAAGCGUAGGGUAAAAUCAUGCAAGGCAUGGGUUCAAGUAAAGGGCAUGACAUAGCAAGUUUUGCUUAAAAUUGAAGUUAUAUAUUACGGUAAAUAACUUGCCGCGCCCUAAGAGAUUGUUCCUGUGACACACCUAGCAGCGGCGAGGACAAGAGAAGAAAGGUGCGCCGGCACCUGGGCCCCGACAAGCCUACGUUGCUGGGGGCUGCAAGUACCAAGACUCAUCUCCGGCAAGCCAGAGUUGUCGGGGGCUGCGAAAUCAGAUAAGUUUUUCAUCCCUCGUCAUGCAUCCUUUUAUGGACUGAGGAGCGCGAAGUUAUAUUCCUUGAACGUCUGUGCUUUGUGUGAAAAGCCUGUGCGCGGAGGAUCCGACUCGUGGCGAAGUUGCCCCUUGAUUUGUUUCCGAGCCCCGCUCAACAAUACAAGUGUGCUGCAACCAGCCCCGACAAGGUUUCUUGCCGGAGGCAGCACCGCCAGCGGGCUGCUGAUGUUCCGCACUUGGCAAGCGUGUUCGCGCCGGCAAGUCCCCUUAAAGCGUAGGGUAAAAACAUACAAGGCACAGAAACAAGUAAAGGAUAUAACGUAGCAAGCCUCCCCUUUUUCAUUAAAAAGCAUCCCAUUUGGGUACAGUCCAUAGAGGAUGAAAAACAUGAAAGAGAGGAUUACAAGCUUUAAAUGCAACUAAGGCCCGAGGGCUUACAGAUUAAAAAGAUAAGAUGCCCGUAAUCUUUUCUCAUGUCCCUCUCUUCAGGAGGUAGGUCAAGGAGGCAGAAAGGGCGAAAGGAGCGCCUAGGCGAACUACGGGUGCCAGAAGACACCAAGAGAACAUCCCGGGGUCAACCGGGGGCUUGACGGUGGUGGUGGUGCCGGAAGACAGGGCAGAGGGACGUCAGCACGCUGUCGAGGGCACCUCGCCCUCGUACUCCGACUUGACGGCCUCGCCGCCAACCCUCUCCCUCUUCUGCAGCCUCCCUAUGUCAGCCGCCCCAGGAGACGACCCCGGGGAGUUCAGGGAGCCGGCGACGCACGAGGCGGCGCCCGACACCUAGUCGGACCCGUCAUCCCGUCGCCCGCUUCCCUCGUCGUCGCUGUCGCUCCCCUCCUCGUCACUCUCGCUUGACGGGGAGUCUUUGCUGUCGGAGGAGCUAUCCACGCAGCACCUCGCCCGGAUGCCGGAGUCCCCGAAGACCUUGACGGAGAGAAGAUCACCCUCCAUUAACUUAAAAUGGAGGGUGAACCCCGCCAUCAAGUUGUGGAUGCGGGCGAACGUCUUCCACCCUCGGUCAAGGUACAUCACACUGGGGGCUGGGAAUACAACAUGGACUCGCGUACCACUGAUUCCGCAGCCCCUCAUGUGCAACCUCAACGUAUUGGGUGACUCCGACUCCAUCACACUUGCGAAUGGAGCCGGGAGCCGGAGGCGACGAUGAGGAGCCCGACUAAGCCUGACGAAGAACUCGCAAGGGUCGUCUCCAGUGUGGACCGCCGCAAGGGGGGAUCCACCGGCGGAGGCGGAGAUGACGCACCGCCCCGUCCGCCUCUUCCACGAGUGCCUCGGCCUCGACCUCGGCCCCGUCCACGACCUCGCCCUCUUCCUCUCCCCCUUGCGGCAGACUCUGCCACUGCGGGAGUGGGAUAGGGAGAAGCGCGCUGCUUGGCAGCGACCCUUGCCGCCACCGUUGAAGGACCAGGAUUCCCUUUCUCCAUGGCGGAUGGGAGGAAGGGAAGAAGAAGAUGAAGGAAGAAGAAGAUGGGGAAGUGCGGGUUCCUGCGCUCUCCCCUCGCCCUUCUUAAAGGGGCGAGGUGGGGGCUCGGCCGCCCCGCUCGACGAAUCAGAGCACAGGGAGGCCAGGGAAUCAGAGUCGACCCGCUGCCUCCGCCCGUGACGGCUCGGUUUUCGCCACCGCCGCCCACGACCCCACGUGCAUGGGAGCCGCGUGGCGAAGGUGCGGAGCUGAGACGACAGGUGAGAUAGAUGCGCCCCGCCCCGUGAUCACAGGGGUGGGCGCCUCAAAAAUCACGCACACCGCCCCCGCUUCCCACAACGCCGCAAUUUACGCGUGCCGUUGCGGGAAAGUGCGGUGGAUCCGGAGUAGGGUUCGUCUGGCCCAGGCCACGCGCACCCGUGCACUGUUUUGGGCCUGGCCCAACAGCGCUCGGCACCGUGUAUGGCCCAGGCCCGGGGGCUCCUGUCGGUGUACUGAGGUAGGGGUACCUUAGUACCCCGAACUUGUGCACGGGCAGUUGUAGCACCCCGCGGCAAGGCUUGCCGGACGCCCAUCGAGAACCUCUGCCACUUCAUAUUACUGCCAUUCAAGAACAAAGUAUCAGCUAAGAAGACAAGGCCCCGGCAAGAGGAGCUUGCCGGGAAGGACAAGACCCCAGCGAAAGAAACCCGCCAAGGAGAACAAAAGACCCCGGCAAGAGGAGCUUGCCGGGAAGGCCAACCAAGGCCCUUCAGAAGACUUGUCGCGACGCCCCGCGCGUCCCGGCAAGGCAGGACGACCGACAAGCUUGCCGGCGCGACAAGAGAAGAGCCACGGCAAGACGCUUGCCGCGGCAAGGCUGCCACCAUGCACCCAAGCUCUAGCACAUCCGGCGACGUGUCACGCCAAGACCAUCCCAGAAGCACGUGGCGAAGCGCUGCGUAGCCAUGCAGGGCGAGGUGGCAAGCGAAGCUGACAAGGAGGCCAUCGUGGCGAUCGGUGGCGCCCCCAACGGUCGCCUCCCUGCACUGUUGGGGCGACCAGACGAGCAUUAAAUGCCCUUGUCCCCUGCCGUCAGAGUUAGGUAGGGGACACUGUUGAGCACUGUUGUACCAACCCGCGUUUUUACCUUUCUGCCCCUCUUCCUACGCUGCCACCUGUGGGUAACCCCCUUAGGCUAUAAAAGGGAGGCCCAUGCGCACGUAGAAGGGGUUCGGCUGGUUCAACGCACUCGUCACCAUCCUACGCUCGAGCUCUCGAGCAAGAACUAAUACAAACACAAGGCAGCAGUAGGAGUUUUAUCUCUCCGGAGAGCUCCGAAGCUGGGUAAAACCCCCCGCAUGCCGUUGCCUCGAUCUGCUCUGCGUGCGCCCUCCGCCUCGUCACCGUACCAAAAAGGGGCUCCUACCCCAUAGGUGCUCGUGGGCAGGAGCCCCUUUUUGGUACGGUGAGGAGGCGGAGGGCGCACGCAGAGCAGAUCGAGGCGACGACACGCGGGGGGUUUUACCCAGCUUCGGAGCUCUCCGGAGAGAUAAGACUCCUACUGCUGCCUUGUGUUCGUAUUAGUUCUUGCUCGAGAGCUCGAGCGUAGGACGGUGACAAGUGCGUCGAACCAGCCGAACCCCUUCUACGUGCGCAUGGGCCUCCCUUUCAUAGCCUAAGGGGGUUACCGACAGGUGGCAGCAUAGGAAGAGGGGCAGAAAGGUAAAAACGCGGGUUGGUACAACAGUGCUCAACAGUGUCCCCUACCUAACUCUGACGGCAGGGGACAAGGGCAUUUAAUGCCCGUCUGGUCGCCCCAAUAGUGCAGGGAGGCGACCGUUGGGGGCGCCACCGAUCGCCACGAUGGCCUCCUUGUUAGCUUUGCUUGCCACCUCGCCCUGCAUGGCUGCGCAGCGCUUCGCCACGUGCUUCUGGGAUGGUCUUGGCGUGACACGUUGCCGGAUGUGCUGGAACUUGGGUGCAUGGUGGCAGCCUUGCCGCGGCAAGCGUCUUGCCGUGGAUCUUCUCUUGUCGCACCGGCAAGCUUGUCGGUCAUCCUGCCUUGCCGGGACGCGCGGGGCGUCGCGGCAAGUCUUCUGAAGGGCCUUGGUUGGCCUUCCCGGCAAGCUCCUCUUGCCGGGGUCUUUUGUUCUCCUUGGCGGGUUUCUUUCGCUGGGGUCUUGUCCUUCCCGGCAAGCUCCUCUUGCCGGGGCCUUGUCUUCUUAGCUGAUACUUUGUUCUUGAAUGGCAGUAAUAUGAAGUGGCGGAGGGUCUCGAUGGGCGUCCGGCAAGCCUUGCCGCGGGGUGCUACGACUGCCAGUGCACAAGUUUGGGGUACUAAGGUACCCCUACCUCAGUACACCGAAAGGAGCCCCCGGGCCUGGGCCAUACACGGUGCCGAGCGCUGUUGGGCCAGGCCCAAAACAGUGCACUGGUGCGCGUGGCCUGGGCCAGACGAACCCUACUCCGGAUCCACCGCACUUUCCCGCAACGGCACGCGUCGAUUGCGGCGUUGUGGGAAGCGGGGGCAGUGUGCGCGAUUUUUGAGGCGCCCACCCCUGUGAUCACGGGGUGGGGCGCAUCUAUCUCACCUGUCGUCUCAGCUCCGCACCUUCGCCACGUGGCUCCCAUGCGCAUGGGGUCAUGGGCGGCGGUGGCGAAAACCGAGCUGUCACGGGCGGAGGCAGCGGGUCGACUCCGAUUCCCUGGCCUCCCUGUGCUCCUUCAGGAACUCGCAUCGUCACCCGGUCCAAAGACAAGGCCCCGCAAGGUUCCUCGUCUGCGCAUCGACCGCACCCCUCCCAGGAGGUGCAAGCUCGACAACGCCACGGUGCUCCUAGCACCGUGCUCGCAUUGGAACAAGGCCAAGCUAGUGGGUCGCGGGACAUUCAAGGCCAACAUGCGCCCCAACACGCUGGCACGAGCGUGGUACGGUCGCCCGGUCGAGAUGCUGCUCCUUCUAACACCGUUAGAAGUUUGAGCAUGUCUCGCACCUCGCGCUGCUCGCCAUCACCACCCAAGACUCCAGAGGAAGCGCUGGCCCGAGCCCAGCUGCUCCUGGAUUACCCUCCAGCGCCCGACAAGAUCGACGACUGGAGAGCAACCAUUCACAGUCUCAUCGGCUUUGCCAACGGCGACAAGCCACGGCAGCCGAGCACGUCGAAGCCCCGGCAAGAUGCCCAGGCGCAAGCCGACGCUGACAAGACUGCUGGGGGUGCCACCACCGUGCGCUCCCAGCCCCGAAGGCCAAGAUCAUUGGCUCGCCGGGCCAGCCUUGACGCUGACUCCACCGCGUCAUCGGACCCACGAACUCGCCGUGAUCAACGCCAAGUUCUUCAAGAACGACAGCACGAAGACGCUCGUACUCGCAUCGAGCGCAGAAGGGAAGCGCGGCGUCAAUCCGACCAGCGCGCUGGGCCAUCUGUCGAUGUGCAAGUGCUAGGGGAACCCGGCGACCUGCCGUACGCGGCAGGUUGCCCUGCGUUCACCCGUGAGCUGCGGCAAGUCCAGUGGCCCAGAACCAAGAAUUUCAAGCCAGACGUGCCCGAGAAGUACGAUGGCAGGAUACAUCCAUCAGAGUUCCUCAGCGUCUACACCAUCACGGUGCAGGCUGCCGGGGGACGCGACGAGAAGAUCCUUGCCGACUAAUUCCCGCUGGUGCUCAAGCCCAACGUCAGAUCUUGGCUCAUGCACUUACCGGAUGGCUCCAUCUCUUCGUGGGCAGACCUGUGUCAUCAGUUUGUCGGCGCCUUCACAGGCAGCCACAAACCCCAUGGCCAAGAGAGUGAUCUACAUCUGCUCGUCCAAAAGGAGGGAGAGCCCCUGCGUAAGUACAUAUAGAGAUUCAGCCAGGUGCAACGCAACAUCCCAGACGUCCACCCUGCCGCGGUUAUCAGCGCGUUCCAUCAGAACGUGCGUAACCGCAGGAUGAGGGAGGAGAUGGCGAUGUGCAAGAUCAAAGACGUCAGCGAGCUAUAUGCUCUAGCCGACAAGUGUGCAGGAGCUGAGGAGGGGAGGAAAAUCCCCGGAGAGAUUGCAGGAGCUGAGGGAUCUGACAGUGAGGAUGCCGCCCCGGCAAGGAAGAACCAGAGGCGGAGCAACAGAAAAAGAAAA
rnacentral:lncRNA from 1 species